CUUGUGCAAGGUAUAAAUCUUGAUCUUGAUCUUUAGAAGCUUAGAUCUCCAUGUUUUAGCUUUUGGACCCUUUUUGGUCCCAUAAAUAAGCUCUUGUGGAUUGUUUUCGUUUCUGAAGCUUAGAGUUGCUAGUCUUGGUGUUCUUUGGGUCCUAGAGGCAUAAAGUUGCCACCUUUGAAGCUUUAAUCCAACCAUGUUUGAGUAAUUGCCAUUUUUGUGGAAGUAGAAUGUUAUAUUUCAAGUUUGGGCUCAUUUGGGGCAUGCAAAGCCACCAAUUUGAUGACUUUAUGGGUUAAGACGUUGCAAAUGACUCAGAUUUGUGAUUGUAACUCUUGGACUUAAGUGGUUAAGAGAUUUUUGGAGAAAUGGCUUAUUGGGUGAGUAUGUUGGGCGUAUAAUUGGGGUGGAAAAUCGGACCAUCGUGUCGUGUUUUUGUCCGACACGACAUGACACGACAAAAUUUUAUGUAACACAAACACGACACGACACGAUCUCGUAUUUUUUUUAACUAACACGAAAACGAACCGGUUAAAAAACGACAAACAUGACACGACACGACAAAGAUAACAUGAAAUAACAAUUAAUGUAUUUAAUUAAUGUGUAUUUAUACAUAACACGACAAACACAAAAAACACGACAAAAAAUGUUAAAUCGUGUCAAUUUCAUGUCAAAUUUUGAACACGAACACAACACGACACGACUUCGUGUUUUUUACACUUGACACGAACACGAAUUCGAAUUUCAAUUUCGUCUCAAUUUCGUUUCGUGUCGUGUAUUUUUGUCGUGUCGUGUCAUCAAUCGUCACCCCUAGCGUACAGGCUCGUACAUGCAGCAUACAAGCCAUGCAGCGUGUAUGCUUGGUGUACAGCCGAGUACGCCUCGCGUACUCAGGCAGUUGGGCUUGGCGUUGUUUGGGCAUCGAGUUUGGCCAUUUUCUUGGACCUUGUUGCUUUGGGCCUUUUGGGCCAUCUGGAAUUAAUAUUUUGGAUUAAGGAAUUUUAGUGGGCCUUAGGCCAAGGGCCAUUUGGGGGUUUGAGCCCAAUUUGGAAAAUUGGGCCAUAAGUGGGCCUUUGUGGAUCUUUUGGUUUUGGGCCUUAUUGGUUUAUGGUUUUAGGCCUUAGUUUUGGAUCAAGCUAGGCCAGGGGUAAUAUGGUCAUUUUACCCCAAGUAUGGAUUAUUGAUUAUAGUUUGGAACCUAAGUGUUGAUUAGGUGGUAUUUUGUACUAAUAGCUCGGGGAGUCGUCAUGGUAGCAACUGGGGAUUUAUUUCUGUGAGAUUCAACAUUUGAGGUGAGUUUCCUCAAUGGGUUUAGCGGGUCUAAGGCACCAAUGCUGACCCUUAUUAAUUAUGUUAGGAUGCUAAGAGUUUGUGUGACCCUUGCAUGCGUUAUGUGUUGUUGUAUGUAUACCGGGCGAGGCUCGAUGCUAAGCAUGACAUGAGGAUUGGAACAUAUGCUAGUGUUAUGAUCAUUAUAUGUGUUAGCAUGAUUAUGUAAUAUUGAUUGUAUGUGUAUAAAGGGCGAGACCCAGUGACAUGCGAGGCAUGAGAAUAACAUAUUUGUAUACCGAGCGGGGCCCGAUGCCGGGCGGGGGCCCAAUGCAUGAUUUAUUAUGUAUGGUAUGGGGUAGUUUGGGGAACUCACUAAGCUUUGUGCUUACAGUUUUCAAAUUAUGUUUAGGGUACUUCCAGUGGCAAUGAGAAGAACUCGGGGUGACUGCAUUGCACAUACCAUAUGGAUUCUGUUUAUUGGGCACGCUCUAAUUUUUCCUGAUAUCUGACAUACUUAUUUUAUUUGGGUUGUAUGAACUAUGAUUGGAAAUACUGUUUUCACUUGAAUGAAAAAUGAAAAUUUUAGGUCGUAUUUUUGGGUUGUUACAUUGUUUGUUUUUUUGUCGGUCUUGAAUAUCAACGACUCUAUGUAAGUAAUCUGUUGUCCCUGGUUGAAGUUGAAUGUGUCCAGGUUCCGUAGGCGAAUAGUCUACAAUGUUUCGUCAUUUAUUUUCAAUCACCAUGUUAUGCAGAAUGAUACAUGCAUACAUAAUAUCUCGUAGAGUGUCCAACUCGUAUGGUCGUUCCGCAUGUUCAACUAUGUGACAUUUUGCUUUCAGAACUCUGAAAGUACGUUCCACGUCCUUACGUGCUCCUUAUUGUCUUCUCUUGAAAAAUUUGUUUAUCGGUUAUAUCUGGUGUCGAAACGCCAUCACAAACGUGGAAUAUGGUGGGUAUAUUCCAUCCGUGAGGUAAUACCCGAACUUAUACUCAUCGUCAUUUACUGUGAAAGGAGCAUCUGGUGCCUUUCCUGUCAAAAGGUCCUGAAAUAUUGGUGACUAAUGAAGAACGUUUACGUCGUUGUUAGAACCCGCAACUCCAAAAAAAGCAUGCCAAAUCCAUAAGUCUUGUGACGCAACAACCUCUAAUACUAACGAAGACGAUCCAAGAUGAUCACUUGUGUAUUGACCUUUCUAUGCCACAUGACAAUUUCUCCAUAUCGACUUUGUGCAAUCAAUGCUUCCAAGCAUUCCCGAAAAACUAUGUCGUUCUUCUUGCGCCGCAUAUAGUUAUUGCAUGUCAUUCAAUGAACGUUUGCGCAAGUAUUUGUCACUGAAGGUUUUGAUAACACCUCUCGCCAAUCUAUACAAACUUUCUCAUGCAGUUCACUCUGACAAUCUAUAAUAAUAUAAACAUAUAUUUAAUUUUUAAAACAACUGUAAUUACGGUACUUGCUUUCCAUUGCAUUGACUAUUCGUUGAAACACAUUUUUCCGCAAACGAAACCUUCUUUUAAAAUCGCUAGGUUGGUAGACACAAUUAUCCGCAAAAUAAUCGUGUACUAGACGUCUAUUCCCUUUGAUGCGUGCAAAUUAUACCUACCUAGCUACACCUAAUUUUAUAUUUAUAACCUAACUAACUUAACUAACUAAAUUGCACCUAGGCACUGUACUUAGUCAAAUUAUAGAAUAGUCGGGUAAGUCGGGUGUCGAUCAUAGGGAAGGGUUUUAACUAAUUAAUCUACCUACUAUUAAAUUAACCUAAUUUCUAAUAAAGUGGGGGGGUUUUUUUUAUCUAAUUUUGCAAGUUUAGAUGAACUUAAUUCGUAACACAAAAUUCAAUCAAUUAACAAACACUUAUGUUAGUUCAAAUCCACUUCCCCUCAAUGGUUUAUAAAUUAGUUAUGACAAUUACUGUUGGUUACCAAUUAAGAUAGUAUUAGCAAUUCAGUUCUAAAUUUACUAACAUUGAUUAAUUAAUGUAAAUCUAUGCAUUGUCACACAAUAGUUAACUUAAAAUCAAUUAUUAAAUGAAAUUGGAGCCAUGUAAGAUUGAUUUGAAAAACACACUUAUGGUCAUAAUAUGAGUUCUCUAGCACAUCCUAAUUCAAUAGUUCAAUUAUUUUUCUAAGAUUUGUUUGAUCUUAGCUCUAAUAAACUAGUGUUCACUGAAUUAUUAAGUAUUCAAAUUCAUGCAUAUUCAUAUUCACUAACUACACAUAAUAAGAAUUUAAAGCAAUCAAAUAUUAAAUCAAACAUGCUAGGUUCAAUCAAUCAAACACAAGUCAUAACCAAAAAGUAAAUCAAAACUAAAGUAUUGAAACCAUGAGUUCCAGCUUCAUCUAGCUAACAGAAGCAGCUAGAUUUAGCUGGACAUACUAGCAAACAAACAUAAACAAAUCAUAUUCAAAGACAUAUUUAAAUGUACCAAACUAUUAAGCUAAUAAUGAACUUCUCCUUCUUCCUUGGUGUUGAAAGCCAAUUCCAAACGUUUUCUCCCUCUGGAUUUUGUCUCCAGGAACCCUCCAAGUUGUCCAAAAGUCCCUCAAAGUCGUAAUGAUCAAGAGAAUAUAUAGUUAUCAUAAAAUUCACUCUCACGUCGUGAAUGAGUAUGACUCACGACGUGAAUGCAGUAGAUAUCUGUGUUCUACAAGGAUUCCUCCUCCGCGAUGCUUAUCUUCUGGAAUAGUUCCAUUCACGUCGUGAAUAGUUAUGACUCACGACGUGAAGUUAGCAGAUUACAGGGAUUUCCUCUUCUUUCAUUCUCCAAGCCUCCAAAGUUCCAUGCUUUGUCAAUUUCAGUCAUUUUCUCCCAAAAUACUUCAAUUUGGCUGCAAAGUACAAUUAAAGCUUAUAAGCAUCAUUAUUUAAUGCAAAUAACCAAAAUAUUAAUAAAAAUGUAAGUAAAUAUUGCCCAAAAACAUGUAUAAAUAUGGCAGUAUCACCCUUCUUCACGAUCUCUGUUCAACGCCGCACGUCUGGUCAGUAGUGGAGCUGGCUUUGGCGGUAACAUGUAUGUAACAUAUCGAUACAUCAUACCCACGAACAUAUCAUUCUCGUCGAUAUCAUGAUUAUAUGGAUGAAACGGGUCAAAAGGUUCCAUUUUUUUUUUGUAAAUAGAAAUAUAGAAAAUAUAUUAAACUUGAUAGAAAUGUGUAUUAGAGAGAAUUAGAUAAAUUUUCUAUGUAAAGAUAAGUUAGAAUGUGUGUGUGUGUGUAUAUAUAUAUAUAUAUAUUAAAGUAAUUUUUUUUAUUAUUCGUGACCGUUCCACAUCGGUCAGAAAGUAGACCGUUUAUCCCGUUUCGUCCCGUUAUCACCCACACACCGAAUAUCGUAACGCCAAAAAAACGUGUACCUGGAGGCGGUGUUUGCACCGUUAUACCAACAUUUUUUGAUGUACACGUCGGAUUAACGGGCACUUCGGUUGCCCAUUCCGAGUAGUCUAAAUGUCAAAAUGCAAUGAAGAAAAAGAUUCAUUACAAAUGUCAAUUAUAAGUAUGUAGAAGGAUAAAAUAUAAAAAAGUUAUUAUCUUUUGGGAUAUACACAGUAAAGUCCCAAUAUUUUCAUCGAUUUGACAAGAAAAUCCUGAACUUUAUUUUUUUGACAGUAAAGUCCAAAUUACCGGCAGUUUUUGACACUUUUACAUUUUUUUCCCGAUUAGCCGGUAAUUAGGACUUUUUUGUCAACAAAAUAAAGUUUAGGACUUUCUUGUCAAAUCGUCAAUUAGGACUUUACUGUUAAAAAAAAAAAUAAAGUUUAGGACUUUUUUUGUCAAAUCGUUGAAAAAAUUGAGACUUUAGUGUAUAUAUAAUUUUUUUGGUUAGAAACUUAAUGAUAUGAUACUCUUUACGCAUAAGAGUUAUUGAAACAUUCUCUAAUCAGCUAGAUCAUAUUGAAAUCCUUUACGUUUGCUUCUUGUUAAAUCGUUAUUUUAAUCUCAACAAACUGACAUUGAAAAAAAUUGAGAUAAUCAAGAAAGAAAGAAAGAACCAGGGUUGUGUUGGCUUUUUGCAGUCUCAAAAAUGGAGAAAUUAGAAACCUACAAAAACGAAAAUGCCCUGACUUUUUACAAAUACAAACAACACGUGCCUAGUCAAAAUGGUGUGAAUGUGGAGAAGGGAAAGAAGGACAAUUUCGUUUUUUUCGGUUUCUUAUUUCUCCAUUUUUGGGGUUGCAAAAAGCCAACACAACCCUGGUUCUUUCUUUCUUUCUUGAUUAUCUCAAUUUUUUUCAAUGUCAGUUUGUUGAGAUUAAAAAAACGAUUUAACAAGAAGCAAACAUUAAUGAUUUCAAUAGAAUCUAGCAUAUUAGAGAAUGUUUCAAUAACUCUUAUGCUUAAAGAGUAUCAUACCAUUAAAUUUCUAACCAAAAAAAUUAUAUAUACACUAAAGUCCCAAUAUUUUCAACGAUUUGACAAAAAAAGUCAUAAACUUUAUUUUUUUUGACAGUAAAAUCCUAAUUGACGAUUUGACAAGAAAGUCCUAAACAUUAUUUUUUUUGACAAAAAAGUCAUAAUUACCGGUUAACCAGAAAAAAAUGGUAAAAAUGUCAAAAACUGUUGGUAAUUUGGACUUUACUGUCAAAAAAAUAAAAUUUAAAACUUUUUAUCAAAUCGAUGAAAAUAUUAGGACUUUAUGGUAUAUAUCCCUUAUAACUAAAUAGCAACUAUAAUGUGUGGAGUUUGGUAAAUUCCGCUUGGGUUUGGUCUCUACAACCCAUUCAACCCCAAGGCUAUUCUAGUAAUUUCCCCACUAGAAGGAGCUAGGUUCCGCUGCCUUUUAAGUCUAGGUUUUCACUAUCAUCACUCUCACUCAUCGUUUUGUGGUUUCCUGUGGAGAAGAGCAGCAGAUACUCAACAACUUGCAGGCUCUAUUUUCUCAUCGCCAUCAGGUAUCUGUAGGUGUCCUAAAAUCUACGGUUAGGGUUUUGUUAGCACAGUAAUUCAUGGAAAAUGUUGAAAUCUCACUUGUUACCGUCGAUUCAAUCUUUAUUUUUUAGGAAAAAACAUCGGUUCACCAUAUCGUUAUAAUUGUUAUGAUGAUUUUGGUAUCAUCGAUGAAGUUUUAUGUGUUAUGUUUUCGUUGUAAGCUGGAUGUUUCAGGAUGUUUGAUGAUGUGUGCGAGAAUUUCAUUUUAGGGUUUAUGGUGUAUGUUUGCUUUCUUAAAUAGCGUCUACAUGUUAGCUAAUAUAAAUAGUUACCUUGAUGUUUAUAUAUUGGUUGCCACUCGGCUUCUUCAUCUUUGAAAACAAUGCGAUUAGACCCCCCUUAGGUUUGGAUCUAUGCUUAGAUGUGGAUUGUGUAAUUUUUCUCGUGAAAACUAUUGGAUAAACUUGCUUCGUUUUUUGCACCAUGGAAAGCUUAUUUAUGAUUUAAGCCUGGUUCCAACUUUGUUUGUGGGGUUAAUUUGCUACUUUUAAUGUCUAUAUGUAAAGUAUCAGUUGCUCUCUUUUAGGGUUUAUGUUUAGGUGUCUUAUUACCUCGACAACAAGCAAUGGUGAUGGGAUUAGAUCAUAUGUGAAGUUCUUUUGGGGUGCAUGGAUUAUUGCAUGUGAUGCCCUAUAAUAGUUUUAAUAUAUCAAUGGCUGUAAAUUAUCUGUCCAUAUUAUGCUAUGGUUAUCUGUCUAUUAAACUGUUUUCUUUUUGAACAUGUAAUGUGCAGAAAGAGUGCUUUGAGGAAUGCUGGAUUGAUUGGUCCCAAAUACAAAGAAGAUGAGCAAGAAGAACCCAUUUGUAUACUUGGAUGUGUCUAUAGAUGGAGAUCCUGUUGAAAGGAUGGUUUUUGAGGUCUUUAUUAUAGCUUUAACCUUCUAAGAUCUUUCUUUUAUUCUUUUUUCUGCCAGAUGGCAUUGCCACAUCACUUAUUAUCAAGCUGAAAAACUAAUUCCUUUUAUAUGGUGUUACAGCUAUUCUCAGACACUGUUCCCAAGACUGCUGAGAACUUCCGGGCACUUUGUACUGGUAAAAUGUUCAUCAUAAUUGGUAUUCUUUUUGUCAUAAGUUUAUAAAACUGGAUGCUUUUUUAAAUUUCAGGAGAAAAAGGGAAUAGUCAGAAAACCGGGAAACCCCUACACUACAAAGGAUCCUUCUUUCAUCGCAUAAUCAAAGGAUCCAUGGCUCAGGUAUGUUUUCUAUCAAUUACUUUCAUAAAUUAUAUUGUUUUUUUUUUUUUGUUUUGUUAUUUUAUUUUCCACUUAGUUUCUUCUAGUUCUGGAUGUCUUGGUGGUGGUCUGUCUUUUUAGUCGGCUAUCCUUGUUUAAUCUGUAGGAUACAGGGUUGAUGGUUCCAACUGCUUUUCUUGUGAUGUAGUUUUUAAGGUUGUAAUUAUUUGGUUGUAUUUGUAAUAUCAUCACAUUCAUUCUGAAACAUAUCAUACAAAAUUUACAAAUCCAUCUUUCUGCAAUGAUUUCUGAAUAUAAUUUCUAUAAGUGAAUUAAUUCUUUGUAUUUUUUUUUUGCAGGGUGGGGAUUUUUAUAAACGUGAUGGUAUGUACAUUUUGCCACCAAUUUUUUUUAAUUUUUGUAUACAAAAUCCAUAUCUCAUUGGUUUACUUUUGCAGGAAGUUAUGGAGAAAGCAUAUAUGGAGGGAAGUUUCCAGGUGAGAAAAGUCACUAUGUUCAUUACUUGUGUUUUCUGUUUGAAUGUUGAUGAUCAUAAAUACAUAAUAUGUCUUUAGGUAGUUGAGGAUUUCAUUUAAUUUGUUUAAAAAGUGUAUGCAAAAGAAAUUGAAAUAAACCUUUUAGCUUCUAUCUCCCCAAAAUUUCUAUAUAUGUUUAUAUUUUGAGAGAAUGGGUUUCCUUUUUGAAUUGCCUGUGAAGGUGGGGGCUGACAUUGGUCUUAUUCUCGGUGCAUGGGAGCUCAACCCACAAUGAAAUGGGCAAAUUGUAAUUGUCUUGAAAAAUGGUGGGUGUAUGAAUAUUUUGUGUGCCUUUCUUUCUAGGUUUGAAAUCUUUGGUAAAAUACAAAGUAUUUGGUUUGGAUGAUUUAUGCAGCUAGUUAAGUCUAAUGUAUAAUGUAUGCUUUAUAUUUAUGCCCAAUACAUUGUCAUGAGUUUUUUUAUCUGGCUUUUUUUCCAUGUUAAGUUCCUGGCUACCUUAUUAUUAUUAUUUUGAAUUGGUUAUAAUCAAAAUUUGUUACAUUUCAGAUGAAUCCUCCAAACUGAAACAUGAUGCUCCUGGCCUUCUAACAAUGGCAAUUGCUGAUCGUGAUUCACGUGGCUCUUUAUUUAAUGUGACAUUUGGCGCUAAUCGCCACCUGGAUAGGUUUGCUCAUCUUUGUUGUUACAAUUUUAUGUUGGACAAAUUGAUAGAAAUAGCUACAUACCUUACUUUUGUUAUGGUUACAUAUUGCUAUUAUUGAUAAAAAAAAAGUGUUAAGUAUGUUGCUAUUACGGGUAAAAAAAUAAAUACACUGCAUGUAUUGGUAUUUCCUACAUGUUAUCUUUUUAUAUUUAUCUGAAAAGUUAGAGUUUUAGCAACAUUAACUGUCUAACUUUUGAUGGAAAAGGAAAUUUAAGUGUUGGAAAUGGAAUUUCUUGAACAGGAAGUAUGUUAUUUUUGGAAAGCUUGUUCAAGGACUUGAUGUAUUGAAGAAGAUAGAAAAUGUGGGUGAUGAAGAUGGAAUGCCAACUGUGACAGUGAAGAUCAUUUAUUGUGGGGAAGUAAACGAGAGUGAGAAUCAAAGCUCUGGUAUGGUGGAUAAUUAUUGCAUUUUUAAUGACAUAAUUGUUUGUUUAUUUUUUUAAAAUAAAGUCUCUGUUUUUGAUGUUUUUAUAGAUAAGAAGGCAGCCAGCAAGUUGAAAAGUGGGAAAGAUGUUUCUUCAGAGGUUCACAGCCAUGAAGUGAAGCGGAAGGGAAAGCACAAGAAAUCUUCAAAAGAUAAAAGGAAGAAAAGAAAAAGAUAUUCUUCAUCUGAUUCAGACAGUUCAUCUGACAUGGAAUCUGACUCAUCUGAUUCGGAUAGUGAUUCCGACUCUGAUGAUUCAUCCUCGUCAUCAUCUGAUGUCAGCUCUUCAAGUGAUGACAGGCGUAAGAGAAAAAAGAGAUCCAGAAAGGAUCGACACAAACGUGGAAAAAGAAAGGACAAAAAACGCGAGAAGAAGCGUAGGAGACGCGAUAAGAAAUCCAAACGUAAAUCAAAGAGGUUGGUAUGGUAUUUUAAUUUUAGUUAAACCUUAAAUAAAGUAAUGUUUUAUUCUUUAUAAAAGUUAUUAUAUAUCAUUUUGUAGGGUGUCUGGUAGCGGAAGUGAGAGUUCAAGUGAAAGCGAACAUGCGUCUGAGGACAAUAAUGGUGAUGUCAAAAAGCGAAACCGGAAACAUAAUAAUAGUAAUAAUAAAUCUCCUACAGCUGAAUUUGAAGAUGGUAAAACAGGAGAUGCAUUUGCAUUUGAUGGACAUGUAAAGGAGGAAGAAGGUGAAUACCCGAAAGAAAAUGGUGGGGACCGCCCAAGCAAUGGUGUUGACCUGGCGAAGGCUGAUAUAGUCGAUGACCAUCUCGGAAACUCUAGGUUCAAUCAAAUUUAAUAAAACUUUAUUAUUAUUAUUAUUAUUAAAUUCUUUCUAAUCUUAUUUUUUUUUUACUAAACAGAAGUAGAAGCAAAAGUCCUCCUCGAAGGGAAUUGAGCAAGAGUAUGAGUAUUAGCCCAAGGAGGAGUCAAAGUGUUAGUGGGACCCCUCCUAGACGGGCCCCAUCACGUAGCCCGGUCAGAAGCGAAAGCAGCAGCAAGAGUCCGGUUAGAAGCAUAAGCAGAAGUCCAGUGAGGGGCAAAAACGUCAGAAGCAUAACUCCCUCACCAUCACCUCCACGAAGGAGUGUUUCUAGAAGCCCACUGCGAACAUCGUCUAGAAAAUCCUCACGAAAAUCAGUAAGCAGAAGUCCGGUUAGAUCUUCCAGAAGAAGCUACAGCAGAAGCCCAGUCAGAUCAUCUAAAAGAAGCUUGAGCAGAAGCUCUGGUAGACCGCCUUUAAGAAGAAGCCCUAGCAGGAGUCCGGUCAGACCGCCUAUGAGGGGUGGUCGCCGGAGCUAUUCCAGGAGUCCGGUAGGUGGGCGUAGGGCGGCUAGGUCACCGGAGAGAAGCUUGUCUAGAAGCGCUUCACCUGAUGGCUCUCCCAAACGUAUCAGAAGAGGACGCGGUUUCAGUAACCGAUUUUCUUACGCACGCCGAUACCAUUCUCCCGAUCGCUCCCCGGUCAGAUCUUAUCGCUAUAGAAGUGACCGCGACCGUGACCGUGACCGGUAACAAACUAACAGCUAGCAAUUUUAAAUUAAGUUUUUUAAUAUAUUUAAUAUAAAAACAAUUAAACCAAUAUUUUGGUUUGUAGUUAUUCAAGCUAUAGAAGGCGCAGCCCACUGAGAGACAGAAGUCCACCAAGGUAUUUUGGAGUAAUAAUGGAAUCUUUUUUUUUGGUGAGAAAGUGAUUAUUUGAUUGUUAAAUUCAAUUAUUUACACAGGUACAGAGGGAGAAGAAGCAGGACACGGAGUCCGAGUGUGUCCCGGAGUCCUGUCCCUGUGCGGUACCGCCGGCGCUACAGUCGGAGCCGGUCGCCGGUGGAGACAUCAAGGUACAGGCCAUCACCGCCAGUGGAGAGGAGGAGGGCGCCACGCAGCAGGACCCCGCAUUCUCAAAGUAGGAGCCCGUAUGAACGUAGGUCCUCUCCAUCACCAUCUCCGAGAAGGAGCGUGAAGUCAAAGUCAAAGUCAAAAUCGCCAUCGAGAUCAAGGUCAAUGUCGAGGUCAAGAUCUAGGUCGUCUUCUGGAAGCCCACCUGGGAAGAAAGGACUGGUGUCGUAUGGAGAUGGUUCUCCAGACAGUCAGAAGUGAGAAGAGAAGAGAAAGAUCUUACUUUUGAGGGUGAAAUGAUUUAUAGACUUGGUAAUUGGUACACUAUGUAGGGUGGGUGUGUUUUGAAUAAUUUGACUAUUUCUCUUGUAUUUCUUUCUUCUUCUGUGGAGUGACUGUUGAGGUGCUGCUAGACUAGUAACGAUGAUUGGAUAUGUGUUUGUUUUUAAGAGGUUGGUUAGACUGAGGGGAAUGGGACCGAGUAUCAAUUAUGUUAUGUUUUAAAAAGCCUCUUCUGUUUUUAUCUUUAUUGUUAUGGUUUGCUCUUUGAUCAGUGCGACUUGAAGGUAGUUUGUGCAUUUAUAUAUGUAUUAACAUAAUCUUGUGUGCUUGAAUUGAUACAUUAUAUUAUAAUCUUUUCAAAGAAUAAGCUAACAAGUUAAAAGGAGGGUCAUCAAGAUGUAUUGAAUUAUUAAGUAGAUUGAGAGAAGAUUAUUUACCAUCUCUUUAAGACCGGUAAUAAUUGCGACAUAUGUAUUGUAUUUAGUUAUUUAUUAUUUAUUAACCGAUAAAAUUGGAAUAAGUUACCUAAAAUUUAGGGGAAAAUAUGAUUAAUUACGUAAGUUCAGGGGGUAUUUUGGUUUACGGCAACAGCAGGCGACGUGUAGAAGAAGAAUCUCGGGAACCCUAGCAGAGGUUUGUUUCUCAAUCCUACGCCGCUACGACCAUUGCCGCUUUCUCCACUCCACGAUGAUAACAAAGAAACAUCCGUCGCCGUUUCUCAAUCCAACGGUAAUAUGAUUUACUUGUUCGUUAUUAUUUGAAUCUAUUAAACACAAGAUAUAAGCCGAAGCAUUUUGAUUGAAAUAAGACAGUAACCAAUAAAUACUAAAAGCCAAUCUCUUUUCUGUAGCUUGGUAACAUUUGUAUUACUAAUAAAUGAUGAAUGUAUUAUUGAUUGUACUUGGGUUUUUGAUUGACAGGGUAACAUUAAUGAUAUUGAUCGUAAUGUUCUAUGCAAUGUGUUACACAUCAAACAAUGCUCCAAAGCCUCCCAAUAUAUGGUGAAGUUUACAAAGCAAAGGCAUUGGAAUCAUCAAACAAGUAUGUCUCUACCUUUUAUAAGCUUCUUCAUUUUCAGUAACAUUAUAGGAAUUAGACACUCUUUCUUUGUCACCACUGCAUUUGUGAUGGCAUUGGCAGCUGGUAAGCUUUGGGACACCAUUUCUGAAUGCAUCUCCCAAAUUCAAUCUGAUUGUGAUGAUGAAGCUAAAGAGAGGGCACUUCAAACCCUAGUUUCCAUCACAAAAGCAAGCCCUCCACACAGAAAUUUAGUCAUGCAGAAUCAGGAAGCCAUCCCCGCUCUCCUCUCCCUGCUCAAAUCCUCCUCCCGUGCUCUUGAAAGACUCUCACUUUCCAUCCUCUUCAACCUCUCAUUAAACCCUAAUCUCAAAUCCACCCUUGCUGACAUGGCAACCAUUCAACACCUCAAUACUGUGAUCCUGUCUCGUGGGUCACUCGAGUCUAGCAAACUAGCAGCUUCUUUGAUAUGCAGCCUGGCAAUGCUAGACAAGAAUAAAGCAGUGUUUGGGGUAGCGAAUACUAUUCAAGCAUUGUUGAAGGGAGUUUCAAGGCCUAAUAGUCCUGUGACACAUCACCUUCUCAGCUCACUUGCUGAGUUGGUGCACUUCCAUGGGAAUUGCACAUUGGCUGUUAGAUCAGGUGCAGUUGGUGUUCUCCUGAGAAUAGUUGAGAACAAAGACAGUGAAGAUCUUUGUGGGACUGCUCUUAGUAUUCUUGGGCUUCUUGCUAAGUUUGAUGAAGGGCUAAAAGCUUUGACAAAUACACCUAGUAUUGUGAGUAGAAUGCUUGAUGUGUUGAAAGGUAGGUCCAUGUUGAAUAAUGAAGGUGCAGCCGAGGUACUUCUUCGUGUUUUUGAUGAGAGUGAAGAAUGCUUGAGAGAUGCUAUCGGAUUGCCUGAUUUCAUGUAUACAUUAGCUGAGCUCUCGGUGAGAGGAUCAACGAGAGCUCGGGAGAAAGCUUCUCUACUGUUGAGAAAACUUGAGGCUAAUGAAUCAUAUGUAGAUGAUGAUCUGGUGUUCUUGAAAUGGUAAGGUAGGAUGCGUGUCUUAAGAAAAGUAACAUAAUAAGAGCUUUUGUUUGUUUUGUAGCACAUGAGUGUGCACAUUAUUAGGUCCUCUUUGAAGGUUUAGGUAAUGAAUAGAUGGGUUUGGUGUUAAAAAAGGCAUGGAGUUUAUAGGAUUGAAGCCAUGACUCACAAAACUACGAACUACAUAAAAAAUGAAUUUGAGAGUUACAUAAAGCCAUAAAGUUAAAUUUAUAAAGAAAGCAUAACUAUCUUGCAUCCAAAUACAACAACAACAACAAAUAAACCCAAAUCCCAUAAAGUCUUGUGAGGUAAGUGGGAGGUUUGAUGUAGGUGGUCUUAGUGUCUUGCCUCCACCCGUGGGUAGAGAGGCUACCUCUAUAGGAGACUUUCGCCAUGAUCAAGGAUGCACCAUACAUGAGCAAAUAAAAGCAAUAUACAAUUAAAUAUACUAAUACUAGAAAUAGUACUAAUUGUAAAAAUGAAAUAACAUAAGACGAUAAAUACUUAAAUGCCUAAAUGAUAAUACAAGAAACAAAACUUAUGCUACUACACUAACCUAAUUCUCCGUCUCCACUCCUACCUAUGUGAGGUCUGUAGAAGGUGCCAACUCCUUCGUGUCUAACCUCACACUAUAGUUACGUUGCGUCCUCGGUCGACCUCUCCUCUUCGCCUUACCGUAGAUGUGACGCCUCGAUCCAUUGAGUACCGUCAUCUAUCCUUAGUACACUUUAUUUUAAAUACAACUAAGAUAAUACCUUAGAUUUCAUCUUCAUCAUGGUUUAACAAAAUUACAUAAGCAAAAGUGCAUAAAAGAAAAACUAUUUUAACCGUUUAUAAUUCAUCCAAAAUUUCUGUUAAAACACUAACUACUUGUGGUCCUUCUUCUUUCCUGAGAUACAUACAUGAAUACAUAAGCUUUAAGUUUAGUGAGUAUUUUGGUUUUAAUAUUUAGCAUAAACAUUUGAUGGAAAAAUAACAAUUAAAUGCUUGAAAACAUUAAUUUGAGAUCUUAUAGCUACAUGUAAGUAGGCCCAACUUCUGGGAGGUUUGCUAACCUUGGGAUUCAUAUAAGGCUGUCCCAUAAGGUCCGUUUUUAAGACGUCCCUUCAUCCCAUACCCAAUGCGUUGGGUUACUUGGGUAUUUAAAUGACCGUACUUAACAUGAAUAAAACUUUCAUGCUAACUUCAUAAUAUGUUGUUAAAUGUCUUUGAAAAAUCAUUUGAGCAAGUGAACAUGGCAAAUAAUUUAAAUGCAUUGAACAUAUACGUAGCAUGUAUGUAUCCCAUUAAAUCACAUAAAUAUACUCACCUUUCUUUGAGCUUUUAGGCUUCUUUUUAAUCUUUUAAGUCACCACCAAGCUUGAUAGUGUAUUCUAGGAUGAAAAAAAAUGCUUAACUUCACUUGCUAUGUCUAGUAAAAUUGUGUGCAUUGCUUGCUUGUUCUUUAGGCCUAAAACAUAGUACAUUGUUGAUGAGAUGAUUACACCUAGUGUACUUGUUGUACCUCAUCUCCUUAGAAGCUUACACCUCAAGCCUCUAGCUCUUCUAUGUCAUCUUCCAGCUUAGCUUAAUCUCCUUAGAAGCUUACACCUCAAGCCUCUAGCUCUUCCAUGCCAUCUUCUAGCUUAGCUUAAUCACUCAAAAUCUAGGCAACGCUUAUCUCUACUUGUAUAUGCUAGCUUGGUUACUACUUUUAGCCUUGAUUUGUCAUGCUAAGCUUUGGUUUACUUGUAGCUGGUGUUGUGGUACUUGUAAGCAUAUGGUAAGCUACUUGUGUGCUUGCUUAUUUUCAACUUUUCUUUUUACAUAAAAUUUGCAACAUUCUUCUAUAACAACUAUUCUUAAAGUGUCCCUUAUGUUCUUUUAUAUUACAAGGGUGUUAUGGUAGAUGAUUGCCUCCUCUUGACAUAUCUAAACCACUAAAAUCUUUCUUUCCUCGAAUUUUCGGUGGUUCACGCAACUCCUAACUUAUUUAUGAUUAUAGCAUUCAGUAUUUUCUCCAACAUUGUUGUAAAGCAUAAACACUGAAGGAUCCUCAUUUCAGAAAUUUCCAUCUUCCUCUCAUGCUCUUUUUUUUCCGGCUAACAUUUGAAGCAACUACCACCUUGUAUCUUGCAUCCAAAUGAUGCCAAUGGUUGUUUUAAAACAAUUUUGGCUAAGGGUGUAGACUAGACAAAGCAAAGUAGAAGGAGAAACGAGGUUUAUUGGGUAGGGUUUAACAUGGACUAGGCUUAUAUAGACCACACUUUUAUCAUGUUAGAUAGUAGAUAGUUUUUUAUAAUGAUUUCUUAUGCAUCUUUAGCGUGGUCGUACAAUUAUGAAUAUUUAUAAUAGUUGGAUAAAUUUAUAAAAUAUGAAAGUGUUGUGGCAAAAUCUAGAGAUUUGAAACAUGUGAACCUACAUGUUUUAGACAUGACACUUUAGUGUCUUGUUUAGGGACCUAUUCCGUGUAAAUGCAUGUAAUUAUCACAUGAAGCUUGCAAAUUGAACUUAUUUUACUAAAUAUUAGGUGUAGACUACCAGGAAAGAAAUUUAAAGCCCAAAUUUGCUUGCCUUUUCUUUCAUUUCCUUUAUCGUGAGUUCGUGACCUUUCCCCUUUAUUGUGCCCUCGACAAUCGACAUAGGACAUCGCCGAGUGGUGCGUUUGCUAUCGUAUCUUUCGAUUGCACCUCAACUACACCUAAAACAACAAGAAUUUGUUUAUCGCAUUGAUAUUAAGGUAUCUUUUUCGAAUACUUAACCUUUAGAUCUAGUUUGAUCCCAAAUCGAUUAUUCCAAAAUUUUACUUGUAAUGCUUUAGUUAGGUAAAUUAUUUUGCAACCGGAAAGAAUUGGCUAGGGUUGUUUGGAAUAAAUGUUUGUGUGCUUCCGAUUACGCUAUCAAUAUUUCUUUACAUUUUUGUUAAUAGGAUUAAUGUCAAUGAACUUAACUUGUAUAUGGAAUGUCAUAAUUAUGAUUUCCAUUCCAUGAUAAACAAUGUUAGGGCCUUAUUAAUGAGAUAAUUCUUUAAUUAAGGUAGUUAUUUAAUUACUUAGAAGCAGUGAUGAUAGUUUGUUAAGCUUUGGUGUCAUGGAUGGUGUCACUUAGAUCAUGAGAGAGAUAGAGAGAAGGGAAGGGGGGGGGGGGGAUCUUAUGGGCCAUCAUUUGUACCCAUCUAGUAGAAUGACGAGAGAGUCGAGUUCCAUAGGUCUUGGAUAUUUCUUCCAUUUCAUAGUGGAUGAUAGUGGGUAUCUUACUAUGAUUUCCUUCUUUGUAUCUCCAAAUUAGCAAAGGGUUUAAAGGCAUUUAGCUACAACUCAUUGCCUUAUUGUGGUUGUAAAUAAUAUGUCCAUCUUUUUGCACAUGUUAUGCUUUUUUCGUAAUCUAGUGGGAAAUUGUGUUAGAUCUUUUGAUAUCCUCGUUUAUAUAGAGGGACACGUUUGAGAACAUGAACCAUAAAUUUUGGAUAUAAUGAUAUUAACUAUGUUGAGACAUCUUUUUGGUUUUAAGAUGAAUUUUGGUUUUACUCCCACCAUUAUCCCAUUUUCUUUGGUUUUUCCUCUCAUUUUUGGACCAUUGACUCUAGUCGUAGUCAAAUCUCAUCUUUACCAUUUUAUAUGGACCUUGUUGCUCAAACCUCAUCUUUAAUAUCGCUAUGCGGCGGUGUUUGGGAUUGCUUUUCAAAACAACCUAUUGACUUAUUGGCUUUUUGAAAAGCCAAUAAGUCAAAAAUAAUGUUUGGCAAACUCAAAAGCAUUUUUCAAAAUAACUUUUCCAUUAGCUUCAAAAAGGAGAUUUCAAAAAGCAGGUAAAACUUGGCUUUUUGAAACUCCUUUUAGCUUUUUAAUCAUAAUAGCUUCAAAAAAGAGAUUUUAAGCCUAACAUUUUUUUUAAACUUAUUGCCUUAUUGGAUUUUGCCAUCUCAAAAGCUAAUCCAAACACUUUUUUAAGUCAAUAAGCACUUUUUCCCAACAACACUUUUGGAAUUCAAAAAGCAGUCCCAAACACCCCCUUGUUCCAACCAUGUGUUGUCAAUGCACCAAGAUCUUCAGUUUUGAUCUGAGCCUUGGCCUACAUUAGUGCUGGCUUUGACUAUUAAGUUCUACCUGAGUUGGGUGUCACUAGCAUUUUCUCAAGAGAUUACUUGAUCUUUCAUUAUUCUACCUUGGUGUCUUUUAGCAGAGCAUCAGAGUUUUCUCUAUUGAGUCAAGAAAUUCUAAACCUUUUAUAUUGCUGGUCGCCUAUAGAUGUUUUUUCCAAUCCAUGACUUGUAAACUACGGCGUUCUCUGUUCUUAUAGAUUUGGUCCUUGAAUUUUAUGCAAGAAAUAUUUUAUAAUGCUUAUUUAAAAAAGAAAAAACUAAUGUAAUGCAAUGUUUAGAAGAGGAAGAAUGAGCAUGGUGGGAGAUUGGAUUUGUGGGUCAUGCAAUCACUUAAACUUUUACUGGAGAGAAUCAUGCAGGAGAUGCAAAGAGCCACGAUCCCAAGACAUGAAUGCAGCUGUGAGUGCGGGCCCCAGGGUGUUUGCUUUUAGGCCCGGGGAUUGGUUCUGUGAUGUUGGGAUUUGUCAGGCUCACAACUUUGCAAGCCGAAGAUUCUGUUUCAAAUGUGGUGUAAUUAAAAGCAUACCAUCUUUUGGUCCUACUGUAGGACUAGGAUACUACCCUACCCUUCCCCUUCCCCCUCCCCCUCCUCCUUUCUUGAGUUUCAGUUUCAUGAAUCCCAGAAUCAGCCAACGAGGCUGGAAGCCUGGCGACUGGUUUUGUGGCAGGGGGUUUUUUUUUUAAUUUUUUUUUUUUUUUUUUUUUUUUUAUUUUAAAUAUUUUUUUUUUUUUUAAAUAUANUUUAUCUUUUUUCAUAUUUUUUUUUUUUUUUUUUUUUUUAAUUAAGGUCAUAAUCAUUAUUCAUUAAUACUAGUUGAUUCUCAUUCAUAUAAUCAUAUGAUAUGAUAUAGGCCUGGCUGUAAUGCACACAACUACGCUUCCCGAAUGAUAUGUUUCAAGUGCAAGUCUUCUAGGGAAUUGGUUACCAAUGUUUCUAAUUGAUUCCUUCCUUGCAUUCCGAAUUCUGGUAAAGAUUUUUGUUUUUUUUUUUCUUAUGAAUGUGUGUGUAAUUUAUGUCAUGUUUUUCAGGUCCUAUGGUUAUGCUAUCACCUCUGUUAGGAGAGAGGGAGAGUCAGAGUUGUUGUUUUUUCGUUCAGAUCUUGUUAUAUCUUAUGUGUUUCUUUUUAUUUCUGUUGGUUGCAUUGCAAUGGAGUUUGAAUCUGGUAUGAAGUUUACAUGAAUUAAUGAAGGAUGUAAUUAUAAGUGGUUUCUUCAGUUUGAAUGUGAUGAUUAUGGAUGGAUGGAUGGAGUUAUAAGAUUUUUGUGGCAAUUUGGUUGGAUCAUAUGUGUAGUUGUAAGAAAAGUUCAUUCAACUGGGUUGUUGAGUUUCAUACACAUUCAUUUGCAAAUGGUAAUUUGACAAGGAUUUUUUUUAAUAUAGCUGAUUUUGGAAAUUUUGGUCUUCAAAUGAUUUUUUUGUUUUUUGUUUUUGUUUGUUUGUUUGUUUUUUUUUUUUUUUUUUUUUUUUUUUUUUUUUUUUUUUUUUGUUUGUUUGUUUGUAAUGGUCUAUGUUCCAAAUAAAAUGACUUUUUUUUUUGUUUCCUAAGUUAUACCUGAUUUUUGCAGUUUUAUCACAAAAAUAGUCAUUUUCUUGGUACGAGGACCAAAAUCAUUAAAAAGAGGAUCAAAAUUGCAAAAAAAAAACUCACCUCAAAAUUGCAAAAGAAAACUCACAGACCAAAAUUACAAUUCAAAAUUACAAAAAGAGGACAUACUACCUAAUUCAUUGAUGAUUAAAGUGGGACAUUGUUUAGUCGUAUUCAAUAAUAUAUAGAAGUAGGAUCGGGUGAUGACUUGAAAAAUAGUGAGGAUUGCGAUGACAAAUCUUGGAUGUUUGUUGGUUUAAAUGGGUGGUUGAGAUAAAUCAAAAUUAAUAAAUAAACAAAAAAAAAAUCGUCCAAUGACAUUUUUGUAAAUAAAAUCAAGUUAGGAUCACUUUCCAAUUAAAGGGCAAUGUCUGGGGGUCAUAACUGUCAAAGGAAAUAAUAAAAUUUUGUUGCUGAAAUGAACUCCACGCACAAAAGGUGCGUCGCCAACUCUAUGGAUCUUACUCUUGAACACGUUUCGCCACCAGGUUUACUUGGGUUUAUUUAUUUAUUUUUAUUUUUCAUGGAUCUUACUCUCGUAUGAACUUGUAUAAGUAGUCCCCGGAAAUGUAUUGACCUGAACUUCAUGAAUAUGGCUUCGUAAUCUGGUUUGGAUGGGUUCUAACGGGAAAAAAACAGGUCUUGAACAAGCUGUUGUUUCGAGUUAAAAUCUGAAAAUUUAACCUAGUUGUUUAAUUAUAUGUUUAAGGUGAAUAUCCCUAUUUAAUCUUGAUUGUUAUUCUUAGGAGUUUUGAAAGGUGACCGGGUGCGAAUGGGUUCUGGUUUCAGUUGGAGGUUUACUCUACUACUUGAGGUGAGUUUCUCACUACACUGUGUAAUGUUGUGCAUUCUUUGCUUUAGCUCGUGUGUGUUAUAGUAUGUUUAUACGGGUAACACUAGAUUGGGUUAGUAUCUAGUGGGAGUAUGUUAUUUGUUCAUGUAUUGAAGAAUAUGUAUAGAAGGGAUCGACGUAUCCGAGCAGAGGAUCGGGCAUAGCCAGUGUGUCCCAAGGGGUCGACGAAUUGAGCAAGGGGGAUCGGGCAUGACCAAUGUGUCCCAAUGGGUUCGGGUGAUCGGGCUUAUCCAAUGUGCCCCAAUGGCUCGAUGUAUCGAGCAAAGGGGAUCAGACAUAACUAAUGUGUCCUAGUAGGUGUAUGUUGUUAUUGAUUCGCUCUUUGACAUGCAUACGUGUUUGUGUGGUUGAUAUUGUUGUUAUAUGUGUAUUAAGGGUAGAGCUUGUAUGAUAUAGACAUAUAGUAUUGUGUAUGUGUGAAAUCCCCUAAGCUUUGUGCUAUUCCCUUUUCCCUUAAAAAAAUACCAUUUCAGGAUUAACAUGUACUUAGGAUGGCAGGGUGUGAUAGUACACACCGGCUCAGUACGGAUUGAUGAAGUUUUCAUAUUACCUUGGAUUAUGUUUCUUUGAUUUUGGAAUUUAUAAUUAACAAAUGGUUUUUGAAAUUUAUUGAUCUUGGGAUUAUGGUUUUAAAACUUAUUUUGAAAAAAAGUCAUGGUUUUGAAUAUACUUAUAUUGUUUUUAGAAGUUCAAAUUUAUUGUAAAUUUUAGGAUGUUACACAAUUGUAUUGGAUUGAGUGCGAAAUUUGAAAAUCCAAUUGGAUUACUUGAAGGCAAUGUUACUUUGUUAGUCUUAUUUAGCAUAAUUGUGUGCGGUUUUAUUUUUAGUUAUCGUAGUUAUAUUUGGUUAUUCGAUAGAAAGAGAUUAGAAUUGGUUGGAUAAUGGAUAACUACUGAAUUAAACCAAUAAAAAAAUAUCCAAUAGAUAGAAUCGAUCUAAUCCAACAUCCAAUUGGAUCGAUUUGGUUUGAUUUUUUUAUGAUGAAUUGGAUUGGACCGGUUGACAAAUCCAACAUCUAAUGGAUGAUUAGAUUGGAUUGGUUCCAUCGAAAUCCAUUGGAUUUGAACCGCUGAUCACCCAUAAUUUGGUUAUUAUGUUUUUUUCAAUCAGCUGCUGGAACAUGAUGGUUCUAAAAACAUUUUGCAAAAAGGUAAGAAUCAGCCAUAAAGUCACAUUACCUUUCAUUGUUGAUGGUUGUGGAAUGUGAACUACUUUUUAUUAAAUUAUAAAUUAUCUAAGGAUGAAACUGCAUUUCCUUUCUUCAUAUCACUAUAACACAUUACAUUAUUUUUGUAUGUUUUUAUAACAUCAAAUCUUUGUUGUGAAACAAGGUUUAUUAUUAACAUGAGUUGGUUUGAGCUUUAACAAAAUUUUAAGAUAAUUAACUAUUUCAUACAAAUGAUUGUUCCAUGGAUUAUAUCAUUAUUAUUAUUAUUAUUAUUAUUAUUAUUAUCAUUAUAAAUCUUAUAAUAGAAGUCACUUGUGACAUAUAUCCUUAUUAUUAUCAUUAUCAUCAUUAUAAAUCUUAUAAUAGAAGUCACUUAUGACGCGGUUCAAGAUAACUCCCUAUAUUGAAGUGCAAAUAAUAAAGAUACGAAUGAUGGAUGUUACGUAAUAAGAUUAUAAUUUGAAAUAGUAUGCUAGAAAGUAACAUGACAAACAAAUCCUGAAACCGUAAACAACAAACAUACAAAAGCCAGUUUGGUAUCAAGAACAAGGUUGGACCGAAACCGUAAACAACAAACAUACAAAAGCCAGUUUGGUCCAAAACCCGAAACCCGAUUUAGUACCCGGAACUGGACCGGACCGAACCCCGACCCGCUACACCUAAAAACGGUCCAGUUCUCGGGUAAGGUAAUUCAUGGUUUUCGGUCUUCAGGCUGGUCCGGUUCGGGUUCUGCUCGUUGCUCUAUAUUGAACCAUAUUAAUUUGAAACUACGAAAACUCUUCGGCUUAUAUUUUAAGUUUCUAUUUGGUGUGUUAGCUGAAAAAACUAGUUUUUAACUUAUAAGCUAGUUUAUCCAUAAACUAUCUCGGAUAACUUAGACAAAACUGCAAAAUUGGUCCUUGUGGUAUGCAUUUUUUCUGAGGUUUAAUCCAAACCUCGAUUUUUUUGGAUUGGUGGUCCUUUUUGGUCCCUUGAAAAAUUGAAAAGACUAAAAUGCCCUUCUGAACAGUUUAUAUGUUAUUUUCUAUUUAAUUUAAAAUUAUAUUAAUUAAAAAUAUAGGGCCCACCUCUUUCUUUCUUUCUUUCUUUCUCUCUCUCUCUCUCUCUCUCUCUAUAUAUAUAUAUAGCCAUUUGGGUUUGUCUUUGACAAACAUCUAAUAACAUCUUCAUAAAUUCAAGAACACUCAAGAACAUCUUAUGCCAUCACCACCAUUCGACCACCGUCCUCCACCACCACUGUCUGCCACCUCCAUCUCCACCUGAACUUUUUAUACCACUUUAUAUCCGCCUAAAAUCAUCCCAAAAACAAAAAUCAUACACAAAAUAUGGGUUUGUUCUUGAGUUUCCCCUUAAAAAUAAUCACUAGAUCUGAUGCCUCAUCAAGAGCUCAUGAACACACACACCCACCCACAUUCAAGAACACAUUCAUGAACCCCAUAUCUGAUGAGCACACAAACACAAACACACAUUAUAUCAGAUCUGAUGAAGGGUUUUUGGAUGAACACAUUCAAGAACAAAUUUUUGAACCCUAGAUAUAAGGAACACACGAACAAAAUCAGAUCGAGUUCAUGGGUUCUCGGGUUCUUCAUCCAAAAAACAAAGAUCUAAAACCAAAACGAACAUUUGACCCCUCAGUGGCAGAUUUCUUCGUCCCCAUCUUCCAAAAACCCAUAUUGUAUGUGUGUAUUUUGUGACAUCCCCGAUUUCACGGCCACAAAAGACCGAUUUGAUUAUGAUUAUUUAAAUCAGAAUAUUCUUUUCAAAAGAGUAAUAAUGUGGAAUUUGUUCCAAAAAAUAUGACAAUAUCAUUAUUAAAGCAUUUCCGAGGAAAUGUAUUUCAUUUAUAUUUAAAAACCUUGGGAUGUCAUGGUCAAUACAACAACAUAAGCAUAAAACGUAAUAUUACAGGCCUUACAAUAGUUUAUUAUUCUAUUGGCCUAUUCUCCUUUAAAUCUCACUCCAAAUUUAAACUCAUCACACCUAUGCUCUUACGCUGCUACCUGUGAAACAAAGAAACUGAGUGGGUUAGGCUUCGGAAAGCCUGAUGAGCACAUAGGGUUUUCAACCCACAAUAAUUAAAUUUAUUAAUUUCAUCAAUCAAUCAACUCGGUUAUCCGUUCCCGUUAUCCUCACUUUUUGUCCCUAAAACAUCUAAAUUAAGGGACUUAGCCUAAGGAUUUUUCAUCGGGGUGACAGCACUGCAUAGGGGAUUCCUCAACAAUAUAUGUUAAAAGGCAACCAUAGGGGAAUGGAGUACAUCUGGUGAACAUUUAGUUCAAAAACACCUACAUGUUUCGAGCCUACCACCGUUCCACUAGACUGUCUAGAAUAGUUUGUGGUCGUCAUCUAUACUCCGCUAGAUGACUGGAUCAUCUUAAACACUCUAGGCCUAUCAUUAUUUAUUUUAUCAUCUAUAUCAUCUACCCAUCUUUACCCUUUAUAUUUAUAGGUACAAAAUACAUACAUAGUUUAAAUCGAAUAAAACAUGUAUAUUUUGUUCAUCCAACAUACAUAUCAAGAACACAGAUAAUAUACACACAUAACACGUAAUUUUUAUUAAAUACUUCAUAUUUAUGUAUAAGAUGAAAAUAACUAUGCACUCACUUGACUAGUUAGUGGUUACUAACUAUGUUCUUAAUCGUCGUUAUAUCACACUUUCUUUAUUUAUGACUCCUUGCUCGAAAAUUCUGAACUCUAAUUUCAAAAUUUCUGGCCCUUCUUUAUAUCGAGUAUAUCUUUGGCUAUUAUUGUUUUCUAUCAUAAGAAUUGCUCAAAGGAUACCUCUAUUUAUAUAAAGGAUUUUUGAAUCGCCCGUACAAUAUCAAAAGAUUAGUCACCCAAAAAAAUUACACGUAUAACUUCAAUAAAUUAGAUGUGUACGAACAUACUUGAAAGGUUAACACAUAUUCUUCUGAUAUUGACUCUAAAUUAGAAGGUGUAUUAUUACUUCUCUUUUGUCAACACAUAUCAUUUUAAUUAAUAAAAUAUGUACGACAUGUAUUAUAUUUCUUACAGGUAUGUUGGUUUGCAAUUUACAAAUCAAUUAUAGUUACAUUUAUGGUCCAUAAGUUAUUAUUGUAUUAACACAAUAUAUCAUUCAAGUUACACUGUAGUCCCUCAGCUGCAUGGAGCCCCUAAUAAGAAUAAAGAACAAGUAAGAGACGAUCACCCACUUAUUUGUUUGGAUCGGUCCGAUCCAAUCAAAUUAAGUAAAUUCAACUUAAUUCCGGUUUACAAAACAUUGAUUCAAAUAGUUCAAACUAAAUUCAAAUUCGGUAUGAAUUAAUCAAAUUACAAUUCGAUUUUCAAGAGUCGGAAUGUUUUAAAAUAGUUAUAAUUUGAAUAUUAGCUGACUUUAUAAAAGAAAUAUAAUCAAAUGGUUAGUUGUAAAUUAAAAUUUAUAAACUGUUAAGGAAAAUAUAUUUUGAUUCAUUAGAUAAAAAAAUCUUGAAAAAAAAAUACAUAUUAAGGUUUUUAUUAGGAGAGUGUUUCUAACCUAUUUAAAAAACAAUUCAGUAAAUUAAUAAAUAAUUAAAAGUAUAUAUUAAAAAUUAAAAUAUAUAUAUCUAUUCUAAUAAAUGAAAGUGUUUUUUGUCACAUGUUACACUCUCACUCAAUUUAUCAAAUGUCAUUUUGUGGUUAUUUUGAAUUAAUUUAUUUUUCCAAAUGUCAUGUUAUGUUUUUUUUUUUAUUUUAAUAAAGUUCACAUAAUAUUUAAAUGUAAUAAUUACAAUAAAUUUAGUAAUAAAUAAAUAUAAAUUUCAUUAAUGGAUAAAAAAAUCAAUUUUAAAAGAUAAAAAAAAUCAAUUUUUAUAAUUCAUUAUUUUUUUUUUAUAAAUUCAAAGUUCUUAAAUAUUUAGACAUUUAUAAUUAAUUUUUUUGAUUAACUCAUAUAAUCCAUGAGUCUUAUAGUUUACAAAAUAUUUAUCAAAUAAAGAUAUACUUGCAUGCUGUAAGAUAAUUUUUUUUACUAAUUUACCACCCCGGCCUUUCUAACAAUAAUUUGUAUUAUAUAAAAGACAAUGUUUUCUAAAUAAAUAAAAGAUAUUAGUUUAUUUUAUAUAUAGACAACCACAUAUCAUUUCCAUAUAUAACAUGAUGGUUGUUCAGAUCCGUGAUUAUUUAAUUUAAACUAUUAAAUAUGUAUUUUAUGAGUCGGUGAUUUCUAACACUAUUAAAAAAAGGGACAUUGUAACGAAACUAAAAGGCCGAGUUUCCUGUAAGCAGCUGACUGAAGCCAGACAGUCAAGCCAAGCUGAUUCUCCCCGCUCUCGACCAAAAUCUAUUACUAUUUUCAUCAUCACCGACACCCUCCCCCUCUCUUUUCUUAACAAAUCAAUACAAAUGAUUAAUAUGCAGUAAUCAUCGAAAGUGAGAUCAAGAAUGGGCCCUUUUCUUCUCACGCCAAUGCCCAUCAAACUUCAUUGAUUAUCAAGUUCCUUCAAAUUCAAAUCAAGAACGAAAAAAUCAAUUUCUAUCAUCUGGGGCUCUUCUUUAGUCCCCUGUUUCUACUUUAAUUGGAAUACAUGGAGGCAAAUGCAGGAUUAGUUGCCGGAUCUCAUAAGAGGAACGAGUUGGUGAGAAUAAGACAUGAUUCCGAUGGAGGGGUAUGUGUUCUUUCGAUUUUUCUUGAAUACCCUUUUGGAUUUUGAGUGUUCAGAAAUCAAUUUUAUCGACUCUUGUAUAGAUCUAAGUGAUUUAACAGUAGGCUAUUUUGUUUAACCCAAGUUUGUUUAUUUUGUUUGGAUCUGAGUGAUCAGUGUGACCAGUGAGCUCAGUAAUGAGUGAUGAUACGACUUUUGACUUAUUAAUCCUACCUUUUUGUUAAAUCUUCAAAGAGGGUUUUUUGUUAAAUUUGUGGAUUUAGAUCUGAAUCAUCGAGAUGAAAGUUUCUGUUUUCAGCGCCCAUCUUGAUUAAUUUGACAAAAUUUUCAGCUUUAGCACAUGAUGAUUUCUUAAAUUAUUUAAUUUUGAUUGUGACGUUGAGUGUUGAUGAUGCAGCCGAAGCCUUUAAAGAAUAUGAAUGGACAGAUAUGUCAAAUCUGUGGCGACACCGUCGGCCUGACUGAAAACGGCGACGUUUUUGUUGCUUGCAACGAGUGCGCAUUCCCGGUUUGUAGACCCUGCUACGAGUACGAAAGAAGAGACGGAAAUCAAGCAUGCCCUCAAUGCAAAACUCGAUACAAAAGACACAAAGGUUAGUUUUUGAGUUUUUGUUCGUAUCAAGAACACAUCAAACAUAUGAUUUUUGUAAGAAUUAAAGAGAGAUACAAAUGUUUUUAGGGAGUCCCCGAGUUGACGGUGAUGAUGACGAGGACGAUGUUGAUGACCUGGAAAACGAGUUUGAUUAUGCACAAGGGAGACGACAAUGGCAAGGAGAAGAUCCGGAUCUUUCUUCAUCUUCUAGAAGACAUGAAUCACAGCAACCAGUUCCCCUUCUCACUAAUGGCCAACAAGUAAGAAAAUUACUUAUAUACCCUUUUGUUCUAAGCAUUACCUUUUUAACUAAAUUCAGAGUGUUAUUUUCAGGUAUCUGGUGAAAUCCCAAUUGCCACACCGGACAAUCUAUCUGUAAGAAGUACAUCGGGUCCAUUAGGCCCUGGUGACAAGCCUGUCCGCUAUAUGGAUCCAAGACAACCAGGUUACUUUCUUUUUUUUUUUUUUUUUUUUUAAAAAAAAAGUAUUAUUAUUAAUCAGAUAAUGUUGUAGUAAUUAUGCUAAUGAUGCCCUUUUAAUAAAUAGUUCCUGUAAGAAUUGUGGACCCAUCAAAGGAUUUAAAUUCAUAUGGGCUUGGGAAUGUGGACUGGAAGGAAAGGGUAGAAGGCUGGAAACUAAAACAAGACAAAAACAUAAUGCAAAUGGCAAACAGAUACAAUGGCGGUGAAGGGAGAGGAGGUGAGAUUGAAGGCACGGGAUCAAAUGGAGAAGAAUUGCAACUGUAAGUAGUAAACUAAAGGGUACUUUAGGAAUAUCAUAUUUGUCGACUUAUGAUUUGACUUUUUUUUUUUUUUUUUUUUUUUUUUUUUUUUANUUUGUUUUGUUUUUUUUUUUUUUUUUUUUUUUUUUUUUUUUUUUUUUUUUAAAUAUAUAUAGGGUUGAUGAUCCAAGACAAUUAAUGAGCCGUGUGGUGCCUAUUUCAUCUUCUCAUUUGACUCCAUAUCGAGUUGUGAUUAUAUUGCGAUUGAUUAUUUUGGGAUUUUUCUUGCAAUAUCGGUUGACUCAUCCUGUUAAUGAUGCGUAUCCUUUGUGGCUUGUAUCUGUUAUUUGUGAGGUGUGGUUUGCUUUUUCUUGGCUUCUUGAUCAAUUUCCAAAAUGGUCCCCCGUUGAACGUGAGACCUUCCUUGAUCGCCUUGCAUUGAGGUAAGUAAGUAAUGGGAUUUAGAUUUUGGGCUAAUUGCAAGAAAUAGCAAUGUACUUUCAUUUGUAGUCAUCAUCAUGGGCAAUUAGGUAAUUUUAGCUUAAACAAUGAAAAUUUGUUGUUUUGUAGGUUUGAUAGGGAAGGAGAGCCUUCACAAUUGGCACCUAUAGAUGUCUUUGUGAGUACAGUGGAUCCAUUAAAAGAGCCUCCUCUCAUCACUGCAAACACAGUGUUGUCUAUUCUUGCUGUGGAGUAUCCUGUUGACAAAGUCUCCUGCUAUGUAUCUGAUGAUGGAUCUGCUAUGCUUACAUUUGAGUCUCUUUCUGAGACAGCAGAGUUUGCAAAAAAGUGGGUCCCAUUCUGCAAGAAGCAUAGCAUCGAGCCCAGAGCCCCUGAGUUUUAUUUUGCUCAAAAGAUAGAUUACUUGAAGGACAAGAUCCAGCCUUCUUUCGUCAAAGAACGUAGAGCAAUGAAGGUGAGUUUUACCACUUUUAUGUUUUAUGUUUUAUGAUUUCUUCCAGUGUUUUACCAAAUACCUAAAACACCCUUUUAUGGCAGAGAGAAUACGAAGAAUUCAAAGUUCGGGUCAAUGCACUUGUAGCAAAAGCACAAAAGAUGCCGGAAGAAGGCUGGUCUAUGCAGGAUGGAACUCCUUGGCCUGGAAACAACCCCCGUGAUCAUCCUGGAAUGAUUCAGGUAUUUGAAUGAUUGUUUGGUUGCUGAAAAUUUGUAUAUCAACAGUUGAUUGUUGACUUCUCUUGUUUAUGAUGAUUGGAAUUGGAUAGGUGUUCUUGGGGCACAGUGGAGGUUGCGAUACAGAUGGAAAUGAGCUACCUCGUCUUGUUUACGUGUCCCGUGAAAAACGUCCUGGGUUUCAACAUCACAAGAAAGCCGGUGCCAUGAAUGCUUUGGUAUGGAUCUCUUAAAAAAACAUGGAAAUUUUUUGUGUUUAUUGGUUGUUUAUGGAUGCGAUGCAAUUUGGUGUUACAGAUUAGGGUUUCGGCGGUUUUGACGAAUGGCGCGUACCUUUUGAACGUCGAUUGUGAUCACUACUUCAACAACAGCAAAGCUCUAAAAGAAGCCAUGUGUUUCAUGAUGGAUCCUGCCUAUGGAAAGAAGACAUGCUAUGUUCAAUUCCCACAGAGAUUCGACGGGAUUGAUUUACACGAUCGAUAUGCUAAUCGCAAUAUCGUCUUCUUCGAUGUGCUUUUCUGAACUUUACAGAGUCAAACUUAAAAAAAAAAAUUCAAAUUCAAAUUCCGAUCUUGUUGGGAUUUCAAAAAUCAAAAAUUGACAUUUCUAUAUAUAUAUAUUUUGUACAGAUUAACUUGAAAGGGCUGGAUGGGAUUCAGGGGCCGGUUUACGUGGGAACUGGUUGCUGUUUCAAUCGACGAGCUCUGUAUGGAUACGACCCUGUUUUAACAGAGGCUGAUUUAGAACCAAAUAUCAUUGUGAAAAGCUGUUGUGGUUCACGAAAGAAGUCGAGAAACGUUAACAAGAAGUACGUGGAUAAAAAAGCAGUGAUGAAAAGAACGGAAUCCAACACUCCAAUUUUAAACAUGGAUGAUAUCGAUGAGGGUGUUGAAGGUUUGAUUUUGAGUCUUUCACUUUAGUUUGUGGGUCCAGUGAAUCAUUAAUGUUGACUAAAUUCUUUUGUUUUUGAAAGGGUAUGAUGAAGAUAGAUCGUUACUAAUAUCGCAAAAGAGCUUAGAGAAGCGAUUUGGUCAAUCUCCUGUAUUUGUUGCUGCAACUUUCAUGGAGAUGGGAGGAAUUCCCCCCACUACCAAUCCAGCUACCCUUUUGAAGGAAGCAAUACAUGUUAUUAGCUGUGGUUAUGAGGAUAAAACCGAGUGGGGUAAAGAGGUAAUUUUACCCUUCUAGCUUCCGAUUCUUGUUAUACAUGGUCAUCGGAAAAACAAUAAUCUUCAUGUUAUUUUGUUUUGUGUACAAAUGCAAGCAGAUUGGAUGGAUUUAUGGGUCUGUGACAGAAGAUAUUUUAACUGGAUUCAAGAUGCACACAAGAGGAUGGAUCUCAAUAUAUUGCAUGCCACAACGUCCGGCUUUCAAGGGUUCUGCUCCGAUCAAUCUUUCCGAUCGUCUGAACCAGGUCCUCCGGUGGGCUUUAGGUUCAAUCGAGAUUUUACUCAGUAGACAUUGCCCCAUCUGGUAUGGGUAUAAUGGUAAAUUAAAACUCCUGGAGAGGCUCGCAUACAUAAACACCAUCGUCUAUCCCCUCACCUCCAUCCCUCUUCUAGCCUACUGUGUACUUCCGGCCGUCUGCCUUCUCACCGGAAAAUUCAUCAUCCCCGAGGUACGUUAAUCAUGCUUUAUGAGUUGUACGAUAUGCAUGAAUGUUUGUACAUGUUGAAAAUUGGGGGUUUUGCAACAGAUAAGCAACUAUGCUAGUAUGUGGUUUAUUCUUCUCUUUAUCUCCAUCGCUGCAACCGGAAUCUUGGAGCUCCGGUGGAGUGGCGUGAGUAUUGAAGACUGGUGGAGAAACGAACAGUUUUGGGUGAUAGGAGGCACGUCCGCUCAUCUAUUCGCCGUCUUCCAAGGUCUUCUCAAAGUUCUCGCCGGAAUCGACACCAAUUUCACCGUCACAUCCAAGGCAAACGACGAAGACGGUGAUUUUGCAGAACUCUAUAUAUUCAAAUGGACGGCGCUCCUCAUCCCACCCACCAGUGUUCUGAUCGUAAACCUAAUCGGCAUAGUUUCCGGCGUUUCAUCUGCAAUCAACAGCGGUUACCAGUCGUGGGGCCCACUUUUUGGGAAACUGUUUUUUGCAAUCUGGGUUAUCGUCCAUUUAUACCCGUUUCUCAAAGGUCUGUUGGGUCGGCAAAAUCGAACCCCCACCAUUGUUAUCGUGUGGUCGAUUCUGCUUGCUUCGAUUUUCUCCCUUUUGUGGGUUCGUAUCGACCCCUUUACCACAGACGAUACUCUUGAUGCAGUUAAAGGACAAUGCGGGAUCGAUUGUUAGGUAUAUAUAUAUAAAGUUUCUGAUUUGCAAAUUUGUGUAAGCCGUGAUGUGAUGCGAUGUGAUGUGUACGAAUGAUAUAAUUAUUUGAUUUAUUGUUGUUAUCCCACGAAUUCAAUGAAAAAUUUAAGUAUAACCUUAUCUUAAUAUGUCGGUUCAUUACAUUCAAUUAAGUUGAGUUGUAUGCAAAUUUCUUGUUAUUAUACAGUAUAUUACAAAAUUCAAACACUAUCUUCUUCAUAUUUAAUUUCAUGAAUUUAGUCUUCAACAAGUACAUAUAUAUAAAACAAAACAUGAAAUUCCAUACACACCAAGGUUCAUGUCAGAUCCUGAAACAAAAGAUUAAAGAAAAUAAAGUUAGAUGGUUGUAAAUUGUAACCUAAUGAAAUAUAAGAAAAGUUGGGGUUUUACUUACUCAAUAUAUUCAACGUUGAUUUUCUCCCUUUGAGACUUGGAAAUGGCAGAAAAAGCAUCAUUUGACAAAACAAUAGUCGAAGGACACGGCCUUUUGGAACAAAAAUCUACCACCUUAACAUCAAUGGUACCAUCUCUACAUGGUUUAUUAUUUCCACUCAAACACUUGAGUCUGUAUCGCCUACCACAUGCUGCACCGUUAUCCCAUAGUCCUUCGCUCACUGACACAAAUAAGUUCCCCAAUGGGAAUUGAUCUGCUCGGUUGCCAUUGCACCUUGUGGCUACAUUAAAAAUACAUAUAAAAAAAAAUACUUCAAUUUAACUAUUAUUUAUUUAUUUAUUUACAAUGUCAAAAACAUAAUAAUUAGAAUCAUAUUUAAACUUACGUGUAUAAGGAGGCUCAUAGGAUGAGGCAGUGCCAAUUUCACUCAAACCACACUUGAUGUUAUUGAAGAUUAACAAUAAAAAUAAAUUCACAAUCACUCCAAUUCCCAUCGCUACAAAUUCCCUUUUCUUUUUUCUCUCUCUCUGUCAAAUACUAUGGUAGUAAGAUGCACCCCCUUGGAUUAUAUAUAGAUAUCGUAUGGAUUUAUUUAAAAGAUAUAGGUAUAGUUUGAGAUAUAUUGUCACGUGUUUUUUAAUAGAAAUGUGCUUAGCAUGUAUAUAGAAUGAAUGAAAAGUUGGUGAUCAAAUUGGAUAAACUAUAGAUGUUUAAUGUGAUAUAUAUCUACCUUUGCGCAUGAAAAAUGGAUUUAAUAGGUUUUGGUCAAUUGUGAUAUAAAGUUCUUGAUGCCUACCACUAAUUAGUUUAAGGAAAGAUGGUUUCUAACGUAAACAUAAAACAACUUUUCUAUCGUCUCUUUUAAACAGAAAAAAUAGUCAAUUUUGACAAUGGCACAAAAAGGCAAUGGAAAAGCAUAUGUAAGGAUUAUUAGAUAAAACGAUAGUGUUUUAAUGGAGAAAAAUUAUAUUUUCGGUGAAUUUUUUUUAGUUGAUAAACCCAUUGUUGGUGUCGAAUCUAUGAAAUUAUUUUGGCUUAUACGUCGGCUGACCGAUAUGAUUACCAAAGAAAGGUGCAUCCAGUACAAUCACCACUAACUAAAACCAAUGGCUCUAAACUGUUCGCAAUUUUUUAAGGAAGGGAAAUUCAUAUUUGAAUUCGUCACUACAAAGUGUUACAUGAUUCGUUAUUAAUAAAUAUUUUAUAUUACCUUUUAUCAUAUAAAUAAACAAUCCAAAUUUUAUUUUUAGAUGCAUAUUUCACAAAGCUUUUGUGUUUUUUUCGGUUCAAGUUUGUGUUAAAGUAAUUCAAUAUAGAUGGAGAAUGUCGUUCAAUAAAAGUAGUUUGUGUUAAAGUAAUUCUAUACAGAUGGAAAAUGAUGUUCAAUAAAAGUUUAGAAUAUCAGAUAAUCAAAAUUAGUUUGUCGAUAAGAUUUAUUAUUUUAAAAGAUGGGAUAUAUAUACUAAACUCUCAAUAUUUUUAACGAUUCAACAAAAAAGUCUUAAAUUUUAUUUUUUUAGAGUAAAAUCCUAACUAGCGGCAGUUUUUGACAUGUUUACCAUUUUUUGCCAGUUAGCCAGUAAUUAUGGUUUUACUAUAAAAAAAUAAAAUUUAUGACUUUCUUUUUCAAAUCGUGAAUUAAGACAUUACUGUAAAAAAAAAUUAAAGUUUAGGACUUUCUUAUCAAAUCGUUAAAAAUAUAGGGACUUUAGUGUAUAUAUCCAUUUUUUUGUUAGAAAUUUAAUGUCAUUAUAAUCUUUAAGUAUAAGAGUUAUUGAAAUCUGACCAAUAUGCUCUGGUCAACUAGAUUCUAUUAAAAUCAUUAACGUUUGAUUCUUGUUAAAUAGUUUUUUUUUAAUCUCAACAAAUCGACAUUGAAAAAAAUAAAGAUAAUCAAGAAAGAAAGAACCACGAUUGUGUUGAAUUUUUGCAUAAUGAUAAUCAAGAAAGAAAGAACCAGUAUCGUGUUGAGUUUUUUGCAAUCCUAAAAAUGGAGAAUUAAGAAACCGGAAAAGAAGAAAUUGUCCUUCUUACACAUUCUCCACAUUCACACAUUUUUUACCGGACAUGUGUUGUUUGUGUUUGUUGAAUUUGUUCCUCUUUUCAGUUCAAGAUUUGACGGCGAACCAAGAAAAAAGUUUUACAAGUCUUCUUACCCUCUAUCGUUCUCUCUUUUGCAUCAGUUUCCCAGAUUGUGAUCGUAGCAAAGUAAGAUGAUGAUGGUAAGAAAAAACAAUGGUGUUGCAAUAAAAAUCACAAUUAAAAGUUCUUGGGAUAGGAAUUAGGUCUCAUGAGACUGAUAAAAUUAUUUGUUUCUAGGGAAACCAAACCUAUACACUAAAGUCUCAAUAUUUUUAACGAUUUAACAAAAAAGUCAUAAACUUUAUUUUUUUGACAGUAAAACCCUAAUUACCGGCUAACCGGCAAAAAAGAGUAAAUGUUUCAAAAACUGUCGAUAAUUAGGAUUUUACUGUCAAUUGAUUUUAAUAUUUUCAUGCAAAAGACAACUGUAUUACGAAAGAAAUAACUGUUAACCGUAACUACAAUAAGGUAUUAAAGUUAUAGAAGUUUCAAUCCUAAUAACGCAUAAUUUUCACUUUUGGUUUAAUAUGUUUAUAUUAUUUAUCUAAAAAACAAAAUCAUAAUAAAUAUAUUUUGAUUAAAUGUCACAGAAAAACCACGCCCAUGUCAAUUUUGAUUGUUACAAAAUGACAAUUUUUUUGAAAAGAGAUAUCAUACCGUAUUAAUAAGGUGGUGUUUGUUUUUUUUUCAAAAGCUCUUCUAGACCUUUUAUGUCUGCAUCGCGUAGACGACCCACAAACUUUUAGUCCUAUAGACUGUUUGUUUUUUAGAAGACCGUACGCAUAAAAAAAUCUGUCCAUCCUCUUCUUGACGUAGAUGUGAACAUAUGUCUUCUAGUCUCUUUCUUAAUCUUUCCACUAAUCUUAAGAGACAAUAAAAAAGCGCAAAAAGAAUAAAAAAAUGAAAAAAAAAACCUAUCAAACCUCAUUCGUGCACCUUUUUUUUUAAUUCAUUUGCCAUGUAAACACUUUGUAAAUAUAUUAUUUUAAUGAUUUUAGCUUUAUAAACUUUAUUUGGUCAAAUAAUUUUUUGGUAUUCAUAUUUUAAAAAACUUUAUGCAUAUUUAUCCGAUGACUUUUUAUAACAGUAAUUAAAAAAGUUAAAUAUACUACAAAACUUAUGAAAGUAUUUUACGAACGUGUUUUUUUUCUUCAUAAAAUGGACAAUUAAUUUGUUAUAUAUAUAUAUAUAUGCUUAUUAUAUGAUAACUAGGCUCGUGCGUGUGAACAAGUCUCCGUUUGCCACCUAGCACGGUAUCUNNNNNNNNNNNNNNNNNNNNNNNNNNNNNNNNNNNNNNNNNNNNNNNNNNNNNNNNNNNNNNNNNNNNNNNNNNNNNNNNNNNNNNNNNNNNNNNNNNNNNNNNNNNNNNNNNNNNAUAUAUAUAUAUAUAUUGAAAAUAAGGUGGUUGUAUUAUUAAAUUACAAUGUUUUUAUAUAAGAAAUAUUGAAAAAGUCUUUUAAAUUAAAAAAAAAAUCAAUUUAUUUAGGUUUUAAUUUAUUUUAGCAGUUUGUAGAUUUUAAAAAACAAACAGUCUUCUUGCAGACUGCAGACGUUUGGUCCAUAUCUUCUACUGCAGAUGUCGUCCGCAGACUGCAGACAUUUUGCUUCUGAAAAACAAACACCAUCUAAGUUUCAAACGCAUAAACAUUUAUUAACAAAAGACAUGUAAACGUGGAUUAUGAACUAAUGACAUAGAUAUACGAUAAGUACUAUAAAGAGGAAAAAGCAUAGUUAAGAUUGACCCAAAUUGUAAUGAUUAUAGUCUUGCUAAUGUAAAUAUUUAAUUAGUUUUUCUUGAUAAUCAUGAUAAAUGAUACUUUUUGACUCAUGAGUGAUGAAUAAACAAUAGUAUAUAUAGAUUUACUAAGACGAAAAAAGACAUGAGUUUUAAUGAUAGAAUAUUAUUGAAAAAAUAAUAAAGAAUAUGAUCAACUUUAAAUUAGUGCCCGGAUAAAAUCGAAGUUUUAGAAAGUGCUGAUUAGUGGCGAUCCUUCAUUUUUUUAUAACUUUAUUUCAAAUUAAUGGUAAUCAUGUAUAAUAAUUAAUAAACUUACAAUACGCUAAUAUACAUUACAAUCAUUUUCAUCCUAUGUGAAAAUAAUUUUUGACAUAUUAUUCGUUUUCAAAUUAUAUAGAUGCAUAGGCAAUAAUAUGUCUUUUAUGUGAAAUAAUGUGUGUUUUUUUUAUGUGAAAACAUGUUUUUUAUAUAUAAAAAUAUAUUUUCACAUAAAAAAAACCUGUUAUGCAAAAAACCUUUUGGACCAAAUUUAUAUAGAAACAUAUUUUUCACAUAUAAAAACCUUUUUAUAACAAAAAUGUUUUGUAAAAAAGGUUUUUAGUAUAAAUAUGAUUUUAUAAAGCAAAAAUAACAUAUUUCGAAACAAAAUUUUGGAAAAAUAUAUGUAAAAAAAACAAAAUUUAAGAUGAAAUUGUAACAAAAUUUUAAAAUAGGGACAAAAAUAUAAAAAUUGGACCAAAUUUAUAACAAAAUUUAAAAUCUGAGAAAAAAAUGUAAAUUUUAAAACUGGGAUGACCUUAUAGCCGGGAAAAAUGAUGAAAAUGAAUAUAUUUACCUGUAUUCGUAUCUUAAUUAAAAAAAUAAUAAUUUAAAUACUUAAUUGAAUAUAAGGUUAAAAAUAUAAACACUUUAUAGAUUUUCCUAUACUAAAUACUAUAGCAAAAUAUGUGGAAUUUGGUAUUUAGUAACUUUGGUCUCACUUUUGUUAAAUUUCUAUUUUCUAUCAUUUUACUUUUUGAAAAUUCGUUUUUACCUCUCGAUUUUUCUACUUAUUAACUUUGGUCCAUCACUUUUGUUAAGUUCUCAAAUUUUCAUCCUUUUUACUUUUGAAAUUGUUGCUUUUACCCCCUUUAACUUUCAACUUUCUAGAUACUCAACUCACUCAGCAUGAAGUAUAAGAAAAAAGAGAAGAGAGAGAGAGAGAGAGAGAGAGGAAGCAGCGGGCUGAAGAACCCACAUGAGACGUCUUCUGGCGGUAACCACCAAGGCGUGGAUUUGUUACCCUAGCCGUCGCACGACUCCGUGCACCCUUGGAGAGUAAUCAGUGUUAAAACACUAAGUUGCUUGAAAUAAGGAAUUUGAAGUUAAAUUGAAAAUUUAAAUGUAGAUACGAAAACACAUCAUCUUGCUAACUUGACAACUUAACGCCAUCUUAAGUGGAUACCAUAGAAUGACCCACGAGUGGCGAAUUUAAAAAAAGAAUCACAUGGUUCCUAAUUAAGUGAAGCCAAUAAAAAAAAUCAACAAUACUUUUGGAGUCGGGUCAGGUCGGCUCAUGUACCUUAAAAGAACUGAACAAGUUCAAUCGGCUCAUGUACCUUGUAACGACCCGUCUCUGGUAUGUUGUUUCCAUGUUAUUUAUUUAGAAGUUUUCAAGAGGGACUCGGGGAGUCUAUAGCCCGACUCGUCGAGUAGAGACGGGAUUUCGAGCACGUGUAAGUCGCCGACUCAACGAGUCCAUAUUCGAGACUCGGCGAGUCCGCCUGCUAGGAAGAAACCCUAAAUCCCCGGGUUUGCUCACUAUUUAAGCAAUGUUAUGUGCCCCAAACUCGCCUCCUUCACCCUCAGAGAGCUUGAGAGAAACCCUAAACCAUUCCUUGUAUGACUAAAGUGUUUUGUGUGGAUUCUUGAAGGAAAAAGAAGAAAGGACCCAAAAAGAGGAAGUGUAGAGCAAAGAUCCAAGGCCAAAGUCAGAGUUCAUUGAGGUAUGUCUCGGAAUUAUUCUGUUUUGUGCUUAAAACCUCCAUUAGAACACCUCUAAGGCUAGUUUAAUGUAUUUUCCAAGCUUUAUAGUUGUAUGGAUGCCUUGUUGGGUCGAGAUAUCCCUAGAUCUGUUCAUUUAGGAGUUUUAGAGCCCUGAUCUAGUGCCUUUUCGAAGUUUCUUUGCUUGAGAACCCUAGAUCUAGCCUUUAUUAUGCUUUUUGAGCCUUUUAAUCUUCAUGGGUGCAUAUGGGCACGUAAAGAUAGAAUCUUUACGUGUUAAUCGAGCUUAGGGAGCCCAGAUCUAUAAGUUUUAUGCGUUGGAUUCAAGCAGAAUCGAGUUUAUAGUAGCUGCAUGCAUGCGACUCGGCGAGUCGUUCUUCCGACUCGGUGAGUCGAGUCGUGAGUCCCCGAUUUUUCCUCUUUUGAGUAAUGCCGAGUGGGGACCAGUGAGUAGUAGAGUGGACUUAGUGAGCUGGAGGUCAGACUCAGUAAUGGAGGGACUCGACGAGUUGUUCAUACAACUCGGCGAGUCCAAGGCAAUCUUCUUAGCUCAAGAACAACUCGUCGAGUUGUUCAUACGACUCGGCGAGUCGGAUGCAGAUAGCUUGAGUUCUAGAAUCGAAAGGAAACUCGUCGAGUUUAUGCCAUACUCGACGAGUAGCAGCGAGUAGGGUUGAGAAGUGAGAAUAGGGACUAGGCGAGUUGGCGGCCCAACUCGGCGAGUCAGGUCAACUGUAGGUUGACUUUGACCAGGAGAGUUGACUUUGACCAGGGGUAAAAGAAUCAUUUUACCCCAAUACAGUGAUUAGUAUUUGAUUGAGUGUGUUUAUGGAAUUGUAGCCGGAGAGAUACCAGAGCAGCAGCAGAUAGCUUCCAGAGCCAUACAUUCAGCAGCCAGUUUACGAGGUGAGUUUCCUACCAGUAGGAACGGGUCUACGACAACAAUGCCGGCCCGUUUAGCUAGCAGUUAGUUCCGGACUUCGGUCCGAAGCAGUAGUUCAAGGUGCUUGAUGUUGUGUUUCGGGCAUGUCUAUGUGUUAUGUUAGCAGAUACGUGUUUAUGUUAUGCUAUGUUCAGACAGUUCCGGAUUUCGGUCCGAUGCAGCUAGUUCCGGACUCCGGUCCGAUGCAGGGGACAAGGUCCCAGUCAGUUCCGGAUUUCGGUCCGAUGCAGACAGUUUCGGACUUCGGUCCGAUGCAGUCAAUUCCAGACUUCGGUCCGAUGCAGUGGGCAAGGCCCAGUAUGUGCUUUAUUUGUUAUUGUGUGGUAUGCGGUAGUUUAGGGGAGCUCACUAAGCUUCGUGCUUACAGUUUCAGUUUUGGUUUCAGGUACUUCCGCAAGUAAAGGGAAGAACUCGGGAUGAUGCAUCGCACACACCACAACUUCAGUUUUUGUCGUGGGAGUUGAUUCAGUUUCUUAGAUAUGUUUUGAUACUGUUGUGACACAUUUUUUCUCACAGUAUUUUAUUAUGUGAUACUCAGUUUUAUGAUCUUUGUUAUAAUAUAAAUGAAAUUAUCGGGUCGUAUUUUUGGGAUGUUUCAAGUACCUUGUGCCACCGAUUAAAAAAAUUUUAAAAACCGAUUGAAAUAUAACUGAAAAAGACAUACAGCUUAACGAAAAACUAGUUGAUUAUUAGUCCAUUGAUAAAGCGGCGAACGCAGAGUGAGAGUCUUUGGCAUGUGGGCUUUCAUUUUAUUAGAACAACUUGUUUAUUUAUUAAUAUUUUGAGAGUGCCGAUUAAGAGUAGUUAACUUUUUAUUAUCAAUCUCAUAAUUUAAAAUAACAAAUUGUCCCUAAUAACUUAUAUUUUUCUCUUUUUAAAGUGGUUUUUUUUUUUAAAAAUAAAAAUAAAAAUAAACUCAAUGUAGGUUCUCUAUUUUUUUAAGACUAAAUUACACAGAUGGUCCCUGUGGUUGGCACGAGAGACCAAAGAUAGUCCUUAUGAGGAAUUUUGGACUUGUAUGGUCCCCGUGGUUCCAAAUUGUUGCACGAAGAGUCCUUAUGACAUACUCCGUUUAAUUGUUGUCGUUUAUUUAAAUCACGUAACCCUCACACGAGGGUAUUUUGGUCUUUUGCUUAUCCCUUCUCUCUCUCAUAUCUUUAUAUGAUCUGCAAAAGAUUUCCCUUCCCUAUAAAAAUUAAACCCCCAUCACUUCCUUCAUUAUUUUUCGUCUCCUCUAUUCUCUCUUCUCUCUUCUCUCUGCUGUGUCUUUCUAAGAAACUUUGCUUAAGAAUGGUAAAUUGUUUUUGUGGAACGCAAGCGGUGAUAGUGACAUCAUGGAUGGAUCUCAACCCAGGUUGUAUGUUUUGGAAAUGUCCUAGCAGUUGCGGUUUCAUUGCCUGGUUUGAUGAGCCGAUGUGUCGAAGGGUUGUGGCUGUCAUUCCAGGUUUGCUAAGAUCCAUGAACAAGCUUCAAGAAUCUCUGCUGCAAGCAAGUUUUGAAGCAAAAAAAGUGAAGAUGAUGCUAGUUUUUAGUUGGGUUUUCUUUUUCAUGUAUGUGUAUAAAAGAUGCUAAUAGUAUUAGUCUGGAGAUGAUGGUUCUUUUGCUUGUGGGUAGAUGAUGGUUCUUUUGCUUGUGGUUAGAAUCAGAUAAUAGUAUUAAUUUGAAGAUGAUUUCGUUUUGUUUGUUUGUGAUGCAAGAAAUGUUCGUAUGUAUGAAUGGAAUGCUUUUUAUUUGGGAAACUUUUAGUCUGCUACCAUUGUAAAAUAUUGGUCAGGAACUUAAUGAGUGUAAAAUAUUGGUCUGCAACUUAAUGAACCGUGCAGAUCCAUUAAAGUAUAAAAUAUGAAAGUGAAAGGUUUUUGUAGGCUUUAGACCAUUGUAGAGCCAUAACAACAUUAGAAAUGUUCAAAAAUAAAAUGCAAACUUUUGCAUAGUCAUAAAGUUCAUUACAUAACCUUAAAGUGCAAAGUCAUAAUACCAAAAAAAUAUCAAAAGAGCUUGCAGACUAAUGUAUCAUAACCAAAAGAACCAUCUUAGUCUAGCACCCUGUGUGAACCAUAAUACCAACAAAAGAUAAAGACACACAAUAACCAACUUAGUCUGACCUUUCUAAGGUACCAAAACAAACAACACAAAAGACCUUUCUAAGGUUCCAUAACAAACAACACAAAAGACAACAAAUCAAACUUUUUCCUUCAUUUUGGAUUUAUCCUUAAGUUUGGUUUUCUCCUUCAUUUUGGGUUUCUCCUUUUUUCCAUCUCCCUGCUUCUUUGCCUUGCUAAGCUUCUUGCCCCCUGCCACCACAUUUCUAACUUCAGUUUGUCCCCCUUGUCCCUUGCAACUCCUAGAGUUGUGACCCUUGUUAUUGCAUUUGCUACAAGUAACUGUAAGGAACUUCUUGGUCAAACUUUUACCUUGAUUAUUUGGUUCUUCAGUUUGAGCUCUCUUUCUCUUCUUUUUUGGUCUCCCCACCUGCAUAAUUAAUAAAUUAUAAAACAGUAUAAACGUAUACUAACUUGUAAAUUGAAAAUUAUUUACCUGUUUAGUAUGCUUAGGAGGUGUUAGUGUUAUGGGGAAAUCUGACUUUGGCCACAUACUUCUUCCAUUGAUAGGUUGAACUUUGUACUUGUACAUUUCAUUCCAUGUGCUUAACCUAUAACAUGGAUGUACCCACUCCUCAAGAGGUGGGACAUUUUUUCCCAGUGCCUGCAACUACAAUUCCUGUCCCUCCAAUUAACCACAAAUUGUUCCCCCAUUGUCCCAGUAACUUGAGUCUUAUCAGCACCAUUAAAUAUGCAAGUGUAUUGAGAAGCAUCUUUCUUAACUCCAUCUAAAAGUUUUGUGGCUGGGGGGGGGAGAGGGGCNUUAUCUAUCACAUUUUGCACAAUACAAAUUCGUUUCAUUAAGUAUUCCCUAAUAUAUUCUAAACAUGUAAUUAUAGGUUUGUCUCGAGCAUCUAACAACUUUGAGAUGAAAACUUCACAUAAAUUAUUCAACAAAAUAUCUGUAUGUGCUCUUCCUGUACAAUGCAACAAAAUAUCUUAUAAGAAUCUGUCAAAGUGUAAAUCUUCCUUGAAUCUGUCAAAGUGUCUAACUGUUGUUGCUGUUGCACAUUCCCAUAAAUGAUCUCUGUGCUCCUUCCCCCUCCAUUGUAGCUUCAUGUUUUCGUGAAUAUGUCUUAAACAGAACCUGUGUUCAGCGCUAGGUAAUAGGUUGGCAAUGGCAGAUAAAAUCCCCUAAUUAACAAGUAACAAAAAUGUUAUUUUCUAAAUGUAGUAGACAAAAUUACAAAGAUGUCAUGAACAAGUAUCAUAAGAAGAUUAACCUUUUGCCUGUCAGAAAUAAAUGUGAAGUUUGAAUUUGUAGAGAGCUCCAAAUCUUCACCUAGACACUCUAGAAACCAACUCCAUGAGCUUUUGUUCUCGGCUUCAACUAUGGCAUAUGCUAGUGGGUAGAUCCGAUUAUUGGAAUCAAGACCCACAACAGUGAGAACCUAUCCAGUGUAAGGUCCCUUCAUGAAAGCCCCAUCGAAACCUAAAAAAUCUCUUAAACCUGCCUUAAAACCCAGUUUUAAUGCACCUAAACAGACAUAAAUUCUCUUAAACAUCCUAGUUUCCAAGUCUGCAUUUGGUUCACUGUAUACAUCAAUCUUCACAAUUGUUCCUGGGUUGCACUGUUGUAAUUCUAAUACGUAAUCCCUGAGAAGGCUGUAUUGCUUUUGAUAAUCUCCAUAAACAUGUUUCUGUGCAAGUUGUUUAGCCCUAAAGACCUUCAUUCUUGACAUCCCCACCUCGUAUAUCUUUUGUAACUCUACACACAAAGCUUUGACUGGGAUAGUUGGGUUUCCUUCCACUUCUUGAAGAAUGAUGGUUGUAAGAAACUUAGGCCUCAUUUGAUAGUUGCCGAUUGAGAAAGUGCUGACUGAGAAAGGUCUGUCUGGGUAAGAAAUCCUGAUUGGGUAAGAAAUCCUGUUGUUUGAUUGUACAUCUGACUGAAUGUGCUGAGUGAUGAAAAAUGACCAUUUUACCCUGCUGUUAUAUAUAUAUAUUGAUGGAUUAAAUUGCUGAAUAAUUAUAAAAACAUACAUAUUGUCAUACAAAAUGUAAAUUACACACAAAUAAAAAAUGUCAUACAAAAUGUAAAUUAAACAUAAAUCAUUUAAUAUCCAAAUAAAAACAUAAUGAAAUUUAAAAUAACAUAAUAAUUUAAUGUAAAGUAGGUGAAAGUAGUCGAUUUGCAAUCUGAUCACGCAAAACACGCAUAUAUUCAACGGCUUCUGGACCCCAUUCUAUGCCUUGUAUGUUUUCUCUAUCAAUUCCCCCACCUUGGACGUCAGGAGUAACCAUAGUGUCCUCCUCAAAAUUUCUAAACAAGUCAUCUUCUAUAUUGUAUUUCCUUAUAAAAUUAUGGACCGCGACACAAGCAAUGACUAUGUCUCUUUGCACUGUAAAAGGAUAAGGAGCCAUUUGUUUUAAGAUUGGGAAUCUCGCCUUCAAUACACCAUAAGCACGCUCAAUAACAUUUCUAAGUUGUGCAUGAGCAUGAUUGAACCUUUCUUCUCUAGUUAAAGGUCUGCCUCUUCGAAAAUCGGCUAACCAAUACCUAGUAUUGCGGUAUGGAGCCAUAAACCCACGAGUGUUUGUAUAUGCGGCAUCACAAAGGUAAUAUUUAUCUGCAAACGAAUGUGACAUAUUAUAUAAUGACACAUAUUAUAUAAAGAAGAUAGAUAAUAAAAAUUAUAUAAAGAUUACAAACCUGGUGGAGGAAAUGGAAAUCCAGAAGUCGAAUUGAAUGCAACUUCUUUCAAAACUCUUGAAUCAUGUGCUAUACCCUCCCAUCCAGCCCAAACAAAGGUGAAUAUCAUAUCAAAAUCACAAAUUCCUAUUACAUUUUGAAAACAUUCUCCUUUUCCUCUUCCUCAAUAACGAGUUUGUUGAUCAACAGGUACAACCGCACGUACAAGAGUUCCAUCUAAUGCACCAAUUGCUCCGGAAAAAAUAUUUUUUAACCGUCUAUGUCGUUCUGAGUUAUGUCUUGUUGGGUUAGGAGUUGUUGGUACUAUAAUUUCUUUUGCAAAACACAUCAUUGCUGUUAGGACCUCGUGAAAACAUUGAUGAAUCGUUUGUGUGGAGUGAUGAAAUCUUCCCUUAACCGCGCGAAAACGUUCAUUAUGUCCUAUAACAUGUAAGAAGAUAGCCAUCUUCUCUUCAAUGCUUAUUGUCCUACUAGCUUGCAACCAAUUUUUUUGGGUAAAAUGGUUGCAUAGUAAUGCAAAUGCCUCUUGUGUAAGACGCAUCAUAUCGAAACAUUGUGUAGGGUCUCCGUAUAUCAAAUCUUAUGUAUACGCAUACCCGCUUGAAUCGUUAUCUCUAAUUCUAAGAAUUCUGAUUAGUCUGCGCCGGUUUGACCUCAACCAAUAAAACACAAGUAAAAGAAAAGCUACAACUUCACCAUCAGAAACCAUACUUGAUCUAUUACAAACAAUUAGGUAAUAUGUUAAAGUAAAAAAAAAAUCAUGCACCAAAAAAAUUAGUAAACAUCAUUAAAAGUAACAAAAGUCGUAUAACAAACGUUGUAUAACAAAAUACUAGUAAACAUCAUCCAAAAAAGUCAUCAAACUAUAUAACAGUAAACCAAAAAGUCAUCAAACAUAGGAUCCAAAAAACUAGUAAACAUCAUCCAAAAAAAGUCAUCAAACAUAGGAUCCAAAAAACUAGUAAACAUCAUAAAAAAAACUAGUAUCCAAACUUUUCUACCCGCACCUAUCAAAGGUAACUAUACUUCCUACCCGCACCCAUCACCCACGACUCACAACUACUAUGCGAAAGUCGUAACCAAACUUUUCGAACAUCAGCACUUUCACCAAAUAGCAAAAGAGCGGUCUUGUGUCUUUCAUCUUCUUCUCCCCAUUCCAUUUUGUUCAAUUUCUCCAUACACGCAUCAACAUCCUUAUCCAUUUCACUUUUUUCAAUUCUUUCAUUUUUUUUCCACUAAUAACCUUACAAUCUUGACAAUCUCCUCUUCAACUUCUAAUGCCCUUGCAUCUCUUUUUUUUCCACCAACUCUUUUGUUUCCACCAACUUCCUUAUUUUUGAACGCCCCGAAGAUUCUUCACUUGCACCUACGUGUUGUGUUGAGGUUUCCAUUAGAACAUCAUCAUCAAAAUCAUGGGGACUAAACUCUUCUACAGGACAAGGGAGUGUAGAAGAUGGCCCCCAACUUUGAGAUCCGGUUGAUGUCAACCCUUCAAAUAGUUGGGUGCAAAGAUCAGGGAACAAUAGGGGUUUAGUUUUCAAUGACAACACGAACUUGUUCAACUGUUUACAAUUUUUAUAAAUAUUAGUAUAUGUUAUAAAAAUAAUCAUAAUAGUAUUGAUUAAAAAAAUAAAUUUAAUCAAAUAGUAUAUGUUAUAAAAAUAAUCAUAAUAGUAUUGAUUAAAAAAAUAUUACCUUCCCCUCUUCUUUCCAUUGUUCAUCGGUCAAAUUAAAUUUAUUUUUUAUAGGAUCAUAUAUAUUGCCGGUUUUGUUUUUGAGUUUCACCCAAGCAACAUACUUUGAUUUGUAGUAGUCAAAGUGGUUUCUCAUUUGCUUCUGAUCAACCUCUUUACCGUGUUCGUUUAUCAAUUUUUCGCGUAUUGUCUUCCAUGAACUUGCCUUAAGCCCAGAACCCUCACGACCAUUAGUGGUUAGUUCAUGGAUACAUGCAUCAAGAAAAGUUUUGUCCUCACUCUCGUUCCAAACCAACAUCCUAAAACAUUAAUAUUUAAAGUAAUUUAUCAUAGUUUUUAUCAAGUUAAAGAACAAUUUUAAACAUAAAGCAAUUUUCAACCAAGGAAGUUAACAUCAUCCUAAAUUAUGAUUUGAUAACUUAUACACAAACAAUUUCAGAUGUCACAAAACAUCAAUAUUCAAGCUAACAAUUUCACAAAAGAUAACAAGCUAACAAUUAAGGUCAACAAUAUCAAAGCUAUAAAAUUAGAAAGAAAAAAAAAACAGCCCAAUUUUUGAUUUUAUAGCUUAUACUUUUGAUACUAAUACAAGCUCAAUAAUUGGAAGACAUGUGAUGUUGCAUGCAUUCCCCCUCUCGCCCACUCUUCAAGGAACAAUUGGAUUAUUAAAAAAGUUAGGUUACCAUUAAUCUUAUAAUAAUUAUUUAUUAUUAAUUUUACUUUUGUACUUUACACAUAAAAACACAACNAAAACCAAAAAAAUAAAAAAAAAAAAAAAAAAAAAAAAACAGCCCAAUUUUUGAUUUACAAACCUACUUGUAUUUUCCAAUUCACAUUCAAUUUCAAUUCACAAGCUAUAAAAUCAAAAUUCAAAAAAAAAACCUUCCAAUUCACUUUCAAUUUCAAUUCAUAAGCUAUAAAAUAUGAACCGGAGAAAAAAACUUCCAAUGUGAAUUGGAGAAAAAAACUUCAAAUUCAGAAAAAAAAACAAAAAAACAAAAACAAAAAACAACUACCAAUUCACAUUCUAUUUUAGAAUUCAUAACAUUAGAAAAAAAAACCUUCAAUUUUCAGUUCUUAUACACAAAGAACUACAAAACAAAACAUAAACAAACUUCCAAUUCACAUAUAAUUUCGAAAUUCAUAUAUUAGAACAAACAAUUUCAGAUUUCAGUUCUUGUACACAAAGAACUACAAAAAAGAACAAAAAAAGCUUAUCAUAUGAACAUACAGGUUGAGAAUUCAUAAUAUUCUAACAUAUACUAAUUUGAUUUCAUAAAGAACUACAAAUUUCAUACCAUCAAAGCAUAAAUGGUAUCUGAUUUUGAAAAUUAUUAACAGAAAAAUUAUCUAACCUGUGUGAUGGAUCGAGAAGGCGUCACUGAUGGCGGUGGCGGAGGUCCGACGAGAUGGCACAGGUCCGACUGGUCGGACUGUUUGGCGUUCAAUGUUGUGGAGUUCUUCCUAGCGGCUGCUGUGCUUUUAGGUCACUAGAAGGGAAGCGAAUGGGGAAAGAAAUAAUAACGACGCAGGGGCAAGAUAAGGGCAAGAUUGUCUAAUUUCCAGUCAGCAACUGUUUAAAAACUGAUCCAGAAAGCGAUUUGGGUCAGCAGAUCUUACCGAGAAAGCUCAAAUCAAACACCAAAGGUCUGACCGAGUCAGCCCAAUUUGCUGACUCGACCCAGUCAGACAUUUAUCAAACACUCCCUUAGAAGUGCACUCUUUAAUAGACCUUGACUGCACACAUCUAUGCUCAUGAACCAAAGUUUUCACCAUCCAAUCGCUUUCUUCAUCAGAUCUAGAAAUUAAUACCACCCAAGGGCAUGUUGCUUUUUGUGAGCUGACUGUUUUAUCCUUGCAUUUGAUUCUACUUUUUGUCCAUGGCCCACCUGUCAUUUUCGGGACCACACCCCUGCAUUUUGCCCUAAUUCUUUUUUUUUUAUCAUUUUUUGAAAAGUAAAUGUUUCUCCUAGUUCGAAUUGAAUGCAUUUUAAUGUAGUCCUUCACUUCUGAUGAGGACUUAAAUAUUUGACCCAGAUGGAAUGCAGUUUCAUGUACUACUCCUGAUGAACAUGUGGUUGGUUUGUUUAACCUUCUCAUUAAUUUCUUCCUCUCAUCUUCUUCUACACCAGUUGAUUCAAAUAAUUGUGUAUCUAUCACCUCCAAAUCCUCAUCAACUGUGACAUCAGGUGCAUUGAAUGAUUGGUGGUUAUCUAGAUUUGGAAAAGAAUAAACACCACUGUGGAAGUCUUUCAUAUUCACUUCGACAUCCUCCACCAUAUUAAGUUCAUCCACUAAAAAGUCACUAUCGUCGCUUAUACUUCCAUCGGUACUAGUCUCAUCACUAAUAACAUCUCCAAUUUCUUCAUUUUCCCCCAUCUGUUGGUAAUCAUUAUGAUCCAUAUAAAAGAAAGGAUCAAAGUCUUCUGAAGGGACAACAUCUUGGGCUUUGUUAAGCUCCUCACUUGCAGGAUGAACUCGAACAUCUUUCACUACAUCUCUAUCAAAAUGUCCAAAAGGUACAACAGACCUAGAAAAGUCAUAGUUCUCAUUCAAGUCCAUUUUUCUACUACAUGAUCCUACCUUUGUACUUGUAAACUUUUUUCGAUUGAGUUCCGGAGAAAUAGGCUCAUUGAUUUCUUCCGAUACGACCUUAUUUGGAGAUAUAAAGUAUGCAUGGAGUCUAGUAGUUCCAUGUUCAGUAUACACCAUAAUCUCUUUAUGAUUAGCAACAUGCUUACUUAACAAAAGUACGUCUGAGUUGUUACCUAAAGGAAGUAACCCAUAAUCGAUUUCAAUCUCAGGAAUCAAGAAGUGGUAGUAGAUAGGCUCACCGUUGAUAUAACCUAUCUCCUUCAUCAUAUCGUCUAACUCAUGUACGGAAAACACGUCCAUGUCUACGUAGUCAACAUAGUCAAUACUCCCACCAACGUAACGUCUUCCUGGGUAUUUUGUGAACAUACCCCCAUGGUGAAUCUUGAAUGUGCAAAAACUACUUAACUCAACUGAAAAACAAAUAAAUAAUGAUAUGAGGAAAGAAUGAAGUCUCAAAAUUGAAUGUGCAUAAAUUACUUAACAAAAUUGAAAGUUGUUAACUGAUCACUCACCAUAAGCUUUGAUCAGGUCAGGAUUUUCUGAGAAUUUUGAACGGACAUUCCACAAAGUUAGAACGAUCGCAAAAGAUGAAAAUGAAAACCCUAGUUUCCGUUUGAUGUUUUGAAGUGAUGAAGAUGAAAAACCAGAGGAGAAAAGAAAGGGAUGAUUUCUUGGGGUAAUGUAAAUGGCAGCUAGAUGUAAGGAUCAUUUAUGAAUAUGAUCAUUUCGUGUAACAAAGCAAAAGACCAAAAUACCCUCGUGUGAGGGUCACGUGAUUUAGAUAAACGGAAACAAUUAAACGGAGUAUGUCAUAAGGACUAUUCGUGCAACAAUUUGGAACCAUAGGGACCAUACUCGUCCAAAAUUCCUCAUAAGGACUAUCUUUGGUCUCUUGUGCCAACCACAGGGACCAUCUGUGUAAUUUUGUCUUUUUUUAAAGAUAGUUCAUAAUUUUUCUAUUAUAUACAUUGUAAAUGAAAUUGAGAACUUAAGUAGGUCCUAGGACCUACCUAAGCACAUGGUGGAUACGCCCCUGUUACCCACACUAACCUCAUACACUUACAACACAAAUGAACUUGAACGGUCUAAGACCAAACCAAGAUAUAAUAUGAAAUGUGUAAGUAUAGUUUAAUAGAUGAAAGUGAGGUGUUGUUUGGGCUUGAAAAGUAGGGGUGAGCAUGGUGCGAUUUUUUGAGAAAACCGAACCGCAAACCGCAAGAUGCGGUUUCUAUAGGGUAAAACCGAUAGGUGUGGUUUUUGUUUCGGCGUGGUUUUACAUGCAUUUUCGGUGUCAUUCGAUGCGGUUUCGGUUUUUAACUGAAAAUAUGUGUUGGUGUGAUUUUUCAUACAUGUGUUGAUCUACCAAAGAAGUAAUAACCCCUAAAGAAGCUAGAGCAAGGCCUAAUUGAAAAUGAAGCCAAUUAUUAAUUGUGUCAUAAAGACCCUCAUGCCCACGUCUCAAUCGCCCUCUUGGAGGGAUAUGUGCAUCUAAAAGAUCUUUCAUACUGUGCCCAAUCCCAAAAUUAGUUCUAUACAUAUGCCCAACAAUAAGAAAAAGAAAUGCAAUAGCUAAAUAAUGAUGAGUCAUAUCAGCAUGUCCAAACCCGACUUUUCAGUUAACUUUCCUUUAUUUCCGGUACAGAUUCUCAUUUAAAUGUAUUUAACAUGCUUGUGAAAUAGUUAUAUGUUAUUCUUAUCAAAAUAUAGACUUCUUUAUGAUAUUACGAUUUUGAGAUUUGAAUUAUAUGUUUGAUGCAACAAGGGAUUUGGUUUUAUAAUCUCAAAUUCCAUUACUUAAUCAUUAUUGUUUAUACAGAUAGAGGCGGCUUUUGAUUCGAAUUGCAUUUUGCUUGUGAUAAGCAAAAGGAAAAUUGUUAAUGGUACGCACUUUGAUACAAAUGUCAAAUUUUAUAAAAAUAUAGCAAAACAUAAGGCAUGCACAGUGGCAAAAAGAACUGAAGAGGUCGAAGUUGAACAAAAUAUACUUUUAUUAAUAAGUAUUAUAAUAUAUUAAAUAUUGUCAGGUUUUUAUGGUGCUGUUUGGCAUUGUCCAAACCGCACCACACCGAAAAAUUACCAAUUAAGGUUGGAUUGGAAUGCAUAAUUAUCAAUUUAUCCUUAAUAAGUCAUAAAUCAACAAAAAUGGCCCAACAAUUUUCUUAAUCUUAAUUGUUGCCUUUGGAUUAGAAAUCAUCAACGAUCAAGAUUGGUUCUCACAAUUCUCUAAUCUCUACUUUUAUGUUGUUUUCAUUUGAACUCAACCCAAAAAUCUCACCAGUAAUCACCACACGAACAAAUCCCGUUCUUGAAAUGAUGAAACCUAUUUGUAUCCCGAAGAAUAAUUUCCCGCUCAACAAUCUUGGAAAUAAGCUUAGCAGCAAUAUGACAAUCCUCACAAACACGUAGAUUUUUAGUAAUCCGUAUAGGCGUAAAAGCUUUAGUAUUUAUAAUCACAAACACAAUAGCAAGCUUCUCACUAUGAACAGCAAGAUGAUUUCCUUUAUCUUCAUCUUCUAUAUCAUGAAGUGCAGAAUCCACUUCAGGAACAUACCCAAAAUCCCUCAUCUUCCCCACAAGUACUUCCAACUCUUGAUAAAUCUGUUUAGAUUGUGGAUGGGAUUGAUCUCCAGCAAGAAACGAAUGAACUUGAUUAUUAAGCUCAACAUUACUAACACCGGGCUCUUUUUUCACUCCUUUUGAUUUCAUUAUUGAACGAAUAUUUGUCACAUCUUUAAAUCUACCUGCUUUUGCGUAUAUAUUUGAUAAUAAAACAUAAUACCCUGCUUGUUCAGGGACCAAUUCAAAGAGAUGAUCUGCUGCUACAAGACCAAUUUCCAUGUUGGAAUGAACUUUACAAGCACUUAACAAAGCACCCCAGAUUCUAUCGUUUGGUUUUGUUUUCAUUUUCUUUAUAAAAUCAUAAGCUUCAUUGAUUCUUCCUGAUCUUCCUAGCAAAUCAACCAUGCACGCCAAGUGUUCGAGUCUUGGAAUGAUGUUAUACUCUUCGGUCAUCAAUUUGAAGAAAUGUUUUCCUUGGUUUAGUAAUCCGGCAUGGCUGCAGGCUGAUAGAACUGGAACGAAGGAAAUGGAAUCAGGGGCGAUUCCGGAAUUUUGCAUAUUUGAAAAGACUGUGAUAGCAGUUUCACCAUCUCCAGUCAUGCCAUAAGCAGAGACCAUGGAAGUCCAGGAGACGACAUCUCUUGUUGGCAUUUCAUCGAACACCUUGCGUGCUUCGUUUAAAGACCCACAUUUAGCAUACAUGUCAAUCAAGGCGUUCUCUACUGUUAGAUUAGGAAGAAGCCUUUUUGUUUUUACAUAUGAAUGAAUCUUUCUUCCUAGUAAUAAAGCUGAAAGAUCUCCACAAGCGGGUAGGAUGCUAGCAACUGUGAUUGAAUCCGGGUCGAUUCCGUAAUUCUCCAUUUGUUGAUAAAGAUUAACUGCAUCUUUAGGCAUCGAGUUGUUGACGUACACAGCUAUCAUGACAUUCCAAGAAAUUAAACUCUCUCGAGCGUGAUUCAUGAACAUUUCUUUCAUAAACAUCACGUUGGUAGAUGAAGUAGAAGUUGUUAAAGCAGGGGAAAGGCUGGCCAUGGUGCCUGCGUUGGGUUUUGAGGUAGAACAUUGCAUCAUUGUCUUACAAAUCUCCAAUGCAUCUUCAAACAUCCGGUUUUGGGCGUAGGCAGCAACCAUAGCAUUCCAGGAGACGAUAUCUCUACUAGGCAUUUCAUCAAACACCUGGCGUCCUUCCAGUAACCGGUUACAUUUUCCAUACAUUGUAAUCAAUCCAUUCCCUACAUAAAGAUUUGAAUGCAGACCCUUCUUGAGAACAGCAACAUGGGUUUGUAAUCCGACCCACAAAUUCUCAGACACGGAACAUGCUUUUAGAACUUGAGGAACUGUAAAAUGAUCAGGGUUAAUGUUGAACUUGAACAUGUUUCUGUACAUACGAAGUGCUUUUUCGUAGAAUUCAUUGUUUACGUAGCUUCUAAUCAUCACAUUGAAGAAGACUACAUCUUUUUGAGGAAAUUCAUCAAACAGUUGGCGGGUAACUGCGAUUUGGCGACAUUCAGAAUAAGCUUUCAUUAAUUUCAGAGCAAUAUGCGAUGCUGAGACGAGGUUUCCAUCAAUAAUUAACCUACAAUGUAUCUUUUUCAAUUGUUUGAUAUCUGGGCACUUGUCCAAGAUUUUGAUACACAAGUCUUCUGUGAUUAACAUGAUUGUUAAGGCGAGAUUUGAAUGAAUUUGAACUUAUAUUCCUUUCGCCAUGUUGUACCUGAGGGGCAAUCAAAUAGAAUGGACGAAGAUAACGAAGGUUUACUUGGUGGUGUUCACUUAAAAACAAGAAAUAUGAAGUUCUAAACGCUAUUUCUUGUUAAACAGAAAAUAUUUUGUCCAAUCUAAAAAUCCAAUUUUUGAGUAAGUUCAAGCUUAAGCUCAAAAAUAGUAAGCAAAACAUGUUUAAAAAAUAAAAGUUCGUUUGAAACUCUUUGGAUAGCUCGAGUAUAACAAUCAUCAUAAUUAUAGUCAAUAAAUCAGGCUCAAACAACCAAACUUGAUGUCCAGCCCUUGAUCAUCCAAUUGCCAACUGAAAUCAACUUAGUUUCCGGUUUUAGAAUCGCCCUAACAUUACAUAAGCACCAACUAGUUCCAAAAGUAGUUUUUAAUUCAAUGUCUCCCAUACCCGUGACUUCAAGGGUUUCCAUGUUACCCAACCUUACCAACUUAAGAUAAGUUCUUUACUUCAAUUACUAUAACAGAUCGAUGAGUCAUGUUCUAAUGACCUCUCGUCAUAUGAUGCAAUGCUUAGACUCGAGUCUUUUAAAGUCAAAUUCUAUAAUGAAAUAUACAUUCCUUCAAGUUUCUAAUGUGAUAUAAUCACAUUCUAGCAUGUAUCACUUCUAGCUACAAGCUUCUUACUUUAACAACAAUCACAAUACUUCUAUUGAUCGCUUUGAUUAUCUUUCAGUUCAAUCUUCUGGCUUAAGUCAGAUGCUACAUCGAUCUUGGUUCUCUGAACCACGUACAAUACUUAUCCUAGCUGUAAUCGAUUUGAUAUGACCACUAGGGUCGGAAUAACAAUCAUCUUCUUAGUCAUUACCGAAAUUAUGGUAAUGACACAUGAACAAAACAGAAUCAAUUACUAGCGUCUUGGUAACUCGUGACUUUCCCUGAUCCAAGUGCGAGUCGUGUGCUUCCAGUAGUAUAUGCCUCUACUACCUUUCACACCUACUCAUACUUGUCCCAAGUAUUGUCUUUCAGUUCUCCAAGUCACCAUAAAAGAAUUUCACAUAGUCAUUUAACACAUCGAAUAACAAAACUAAGGUUUAUAUUAUUUCUUGAAACGAUUACAUAGAUAUUCAAGUUCACCUUAUACCAUGCCUUUUAUAUUAGGCUACACCACAUGAUACUAUCUAUAUGGCUACUUUAUAUCUCGAUCUUCAGAUAUAUAUAGAUCCCUACUCCUAAUCCCUUGUAUCGUCACCUGCUUCAUCCAGGUUAGACUUCGAGAAUCUUCCUUUCUUAUCGAAUCUUGAGGAUCCCUCAAGCUUCUUCUUUUCUCAUGCCUUGUCUUAUUCCAGACCCUUUUUCCUAAAUUAGGUUUCCAUAUUCUUGGUUGCUCUAACGGUUGUCUUCAAAGUAGUUGCCAUUUUUACCAUUGCGCCAAAUUAUGCUGGCAAUCCGUUAGCAAAACUAUCUAUCUUGGAGAGUUCAGUAGCACCAAGUAGGGGAAUAACUUCAUCUGCUCGGUGAAUACGGUGACAUACUCAUCAACACUCAUCUUCCUUUUCUUCAAGUUCGAAACUCGUUGUUUAGGUCUAUCAGAUCUAUCUCUGAGCAGUAUUGCAUUUUCAACUGCUCCAUGAAUGCUUCCCACCUCAGGGCUUCUCCCCCAUGGCUUUGUAUCUGCCAAUAACUUCCACCAACUUAAAACUCUGGUCUUUAGUUGUCUGACUGUAAAGACGGUUUUCUGCUUGUUGCUGCAAUUGCAACUUUCAAAUGUCAUCUCUAUCUCGGAGAUCCAAUCCAUGAUCUCUACUGGCUUCGGGCUUCCAGAAAGACUUGGUGGUUUGGCACCUAAGAAGUUCUUAUACAUACGUUCAUCCUUAUCAAUCGCUUUUUUCGGGUCGUUCCUCCUUGCCACUCGGGGUUCAGCUUGACUCACUGUACGACUGUAAUUUCCCUCCUCCGACAAUUCUUCAUUCAGUUCGGGUUGCACGAUAGGCACAAUAGGUUCAUCCCUAUUAUCAAGAAACAUUUUUCUCAUCUCCUCCCUUUGUUCGGCCAUCAUAGCCCAAAUCAUUGCUUAGACUCUUGCCAUCGUGAUUGGCUCGGGUGCAGCUACUACCUCUGGUGCACAUUUAAUCACUCGUGGUUCAGGCUGUUAGUUUUCAUUAGCAUUUUCUAAUAUGUUGCGAGUUCUCACCAUUUCGAUCUAUACACUCUAGAGAUGUUCAGUGUACAGUGACGAGAAUUAAGAUAUGGAAAGCUUUAUUUACGACAGCCAUAUAAAUCUUCUUAUCACUCGUAAAAGUUAUAUACUAGUUCUAAUACCGUAAUUAAAUGUUUGGAAAUUUUGAGCAAAUGACGGUUCAUCAACAAUAGAGCGAAUCUCAUUUAGGAAUUCGUUGAUAGGUCGAUUUCCUUUAGGAUUUUUAGCAAGUUUGGAUUUUAAAGAGAUGAUUCUUGAGCAGGAGGUGCUGGCAUAGCUUGUGUUGAGAUGCUUUCAUGCUUCUUUUGUGGUAAAUACAGAGGUAAUGAUAGGUUGAAUGAAUUGCAUCUGAGCAUGAACCAAGAAUUGCAUCGAAUACUACAUGAUCUUGGCGAUAGCAAGUCGUGUAUUCAUGAUUAGGUUUGGAUUUGUCUUUGUCGAUAAUGAAUUUUGUGGUAGGAUCAGUCACCCAUGUGAUGUAAUCUUCCAGACCUAGUCCAAUAAAUGUGGACUGCACUUGUCGCCUCCAUACAUGGAAGUUGUUGGUGAGUAAUUUGGUAGGAAAGUGACUUGAGGCGGUGAUUUGUAUUUGGGAUGAUUGUGUCAUGGUGAUGUUGAUGAAAAGGAUUAGAGGAGAAAGGCAAGAUGAUCGAUUGACUCUUUAGAGUGUGUGUGCUCUGAUACGAUAUGAGAUUUGAGAAUCAAUGGGCUCGAAUGAAUAAUUUCAUUUACAAAGAUCGAUACAUAUAUAGAUGGUAACGAGAGUUAAAGAGCUAUACAUGGAAUUUACUAAGAAUAGAUUGCAAUUACAUACAAAUAGAAGAGAUUAUUGUAGAUUAGUCAUGAAGAUGUGUACGAUGUUAUAGUUAGAUUGCUUAUUUGCAAUCCAUGUUAGCUAAGUAUGUCAUGUUGAAUACAAAUUGUAUUAAAACAUUAAAGUUCCAACCAUUAUAUGUUGAAGAAGAAGCAAAUACGCCUUAGUCACACCCAUUCUAAAUGAUAUGGAUGUUAUGGUUGUCGUUUCUAUGCAACCAAAUCGUGAUUCCAAGUUGCAGUUGUCUUACCAAUAUAUCAUGUUAGGAAAAGAUGACAUAGCAUGAAAUAUUGUAUGUUACAACAAAAAGAUAUAUCUUAUAGAUGUCUUGCACAUGGGUUAUUCCUUUUUAAGCACUUAUAUAAAAAUAAUAUCACGUAUGUAUGAUAUCUAUUUUGAGAGAUUUUUAGCAAGCAACUCUUUGUCUAUUAUUGUUAUUGGAUAGAAAAAGUAUCAUCUUCGUUGGGAAGAUUUUACUAGGAUUAGAUUCAUAAUAGUUUGUCAAAGAUUUUACUAUUAUGUAUUUAUAAACCCAUGAAGUUUUCUAUUAAAUAAAUAAAUAAAUAACCAUUCACCAUUUAUAUCUUUUUGGAAUAGAGUUUGUUAAAUUCUAAUAUAAAUAAAAAGAGUAUUUAUUUAGAUUCACACAUUACAAAAUUACAAACUCCAAGCAUAAAUCCGAAACUUAUUUUUAAACUUCUUCAUUUAUAUUACAAGUUUUAUUCUUUUUUCCCAACCCACUUGGGGUUUCGAAACCCUAAAAAAGUUCUAUCCAUGGAAGUUCAUAUUUAUUUCUUAUCUUAAUGAAUUUAAGGUCUAAAUCAAUAAAUGGCAAUGUAGAAUUAACCGCAUAUAUUAAGUUAUUUUUGGAAGCUUUCCAACACAACACAGAAAGGAAAUGAUGAGAAUUUAUGGUACCAAAUAACAAAAUAAUCCCGGUUCCUAUAAAAAUUUAUUAAAGCUCUACUCAUGAUUUCAUAAUCUCCUCUAAUAUGAGGGUUACGUUAUUGUAAUAAUAACUAUGAUAAUGUAAAAGCCAUAACAUAAAUCGUCUUAAUUUAAGAAAUAAUAUAAAUCCCAAGAUAUUGUUUUUAAAAUAAAAAGGAAAAAAGUGGGAGUCCAUUAGAAGGAGCCAAGCUGAUUAUUUGAGCCAAGAGAGCACCGAUUUGUUAUCCUUCCACUGUUCGAAGCGAGAGGUUAUCGCAGCUCUGUGAAGCCAGCCUAACGCAUUGCCCUCUGCUCUAGGAACCAAGAAGCCCAAGCCUUCGCUCAAGCCACUUGAUCCAACUCCGAACUUGGAACGGGCAAACCAGAUUUUGCAACAGCUUUGACCCAACCAAACAAGGCUCGAUCUCAGUCCAUCCCACUUUAGAGCCCUCACUUGAGUCACAAGCUCGC
rnacentral:lncRNA from 1 species